GGCCGAGACCUCCUCCUCUUGAUAGUUCUUUUGCUACAUACCAUGUGUAAUUAGUUAUUUAUUUUAUCUAUAAUUAAUGUUCCACACAUGUGCCGCAAAAUUUGAUGUGAUGGAGAAUUUUGCAAAAAAAUUUAGAACUAAACAAGGCCUUUGGGGAAGGAAGCAAAAAAAAGAACAUUCGUUCCGAUAGGUGGUUUAGAUUAGGCCUACUGGUUUGCAUCGGUAAAUGUUUGGACACAUAUAAGAUAUUAAAUAUAAAUAAAAAAAUUAUUAAUUACACAGUUUAUAUGUAAUUUGCAAGAUGAAUCUUUUGAGUCUAAUUAGUCUAUAAUUUUGGAUACUAAUUGUCAAACAAAAUAAAAAAAAUUACAAUACUGUACAACCAAACACGCCUGGCCGUUGGUUCUUCUACCCACUAGUCUGGGAUGCUUUCCGGUGGGAAGCACUAAGCUUCGGUGGUUAAUGACCUGCAACCGUGCCAUUGUGACUAACAUUUGUUUUGAAGGAACAAUUUAAAGUUAUGUAAACUAAUGCACAAGAGGAAUGUGACCGCCAAUUCCAAACGCAAGACGAUCUUAGACUUGGAUUGCAGGCCACCUUUUUCCUUGUAGCCGAAUUGGCAAUUCACCUUAUAUCGUGACUUGAGCCCAGAAAGUAAACACAUAUUUUAGAAUGGUAACACGGUAACACCACGUGUUUUAUGAGCUAAUACCAGUAAUACCUUGGCCUUGUUUACUUCUUAUAAAUUUUGCAAAAAAAAUUAGAUUUCCUGUCUUGCGGCAUAUGCAUAAAGCAUUAAAUAUAUAUAUAAAAAAAUAAUUAAUUACACAGUUUGCCUGUAAUUUGCGAGAUUAAUCUUUUAAGUCUAGUUAGUCUAUGAUUGGACAAUAUUUGUCAAAUACAAACAAAAGUGCUACAGUGUCCAUUUCGCAAAUUCUUUGCAACUAAACAAGGCCUUGGUUCUUCCAGAGAUCAGUUGCUCCCUUGUGCUGCUCCUGUCGGCUACCGGCAAGAAGCUGACUCUGUUAAUUACCACGAUCCAAAAAAUAGCUACAGCUAGAUCGGGUCUCACAUGAUUAUUAUUGUUUUACCAAUGAAUAAUAUUUAAUAGGUAAAAUUGAGAGAAGUUGGACAGAGAACAUAAUUAAGUUCUUGUAUCUCAUUGUAAUUUCACCAAUUCUAAAGUCAGCAACCCAGCAAAAAAGAAAGAAGGGCUGUGGUCAAAACCUCUUCCAGAUAUUCCAAAGAACUCAUUAUUAUGAUGCAAACCCGUAUUUAUGUUUGCAUAAUAGCAGCAAUGGAUCAUGUCAGAUGAAAGAAAAUUUCUGGUCACAUUUCAUUGCACCAGAAGCUUGCAAUAUCAGCCGAGUAUCACAACAGACCAUAUAGAAUUUUCAGGCAAAUAAAUUACACAAUUGACAAAGGUACAAUUGUGUUGUUCACACUCUGCAGUGAAUCAGUAUAUACUGAGUGUCUGAGUCAUACUAGUUAACAAACAAGGCAUCCAACAAAAGUUUACAAGAUCAGAGGGGUCAAUGCUAUCCAGAUUCCAGCAUGUCCACAUUAUUAAGAUGACAAAUGCACAAUUGAACUUCUGACUCACUCUGAUCCCCGAAAGAUGAUUCAUGAAAGACACCAUACACCUCUAUACCCAAACACUAUCUCAGAAACGCUUUUAUCCAUCAUGUUAAUGCUAAAAAAGGGCAUCCACCUAAGCACGAAUCAGCAUUGACAUUUCAUGAGUCUUAUGUAAAAAAGAACUAGCAAGGAAUGAGUUGGUAAAACAGAACACAAUUACUGAAAUACAUAACUACUCAAAAAUCAUCUAUAGAACUGCUAAAUAUUGAAAGUUUGGUUCAUUCGAUGAUUAAGGCACUUUAGAAGCCAUGAACUGGACCUAUUACAAGUACCAACUACCCAUAUCAUAUCAGCAAAUGGAACUCUGAAAGAGGGUAUAGUAACUCAUCACCCAUACAACCUUGACAGAGAUGUUACUCAUUGACAUAACCAUCCUUCCGCCCCUCAAACCCAGGGCGCAUAAGUUUUUUCUCGCGCUUCUCAAUCUUGCGCAUCUUCUUCUGGUGUGCCCGAUCCCGGAUGUUCUCUGUCCUUUUCUUCUGCUUCUCCUUCUUCUGCUUGUCCACAGUCUUCUGCCUCUCCUUCCACUGUGCAGCAUGCUUCUGCUGCCGUUUUUCCUCCUUCUUCAAGCUCUCCUUAAUCAGCUUGGGGUCAUCAUGCACCUUCUCCCCAGCAGCACGUCUUCUGGCUGUAUCCCAAGCAAUCUUGCUUGCCUUCUCAGGAUCCUUCUUAGCCUCUUGCAACCGUUUAGCCUGCUCCAGCGCCUUCUUCUUGUUCUUAACCCUCCUCUUCUUCCUGCGCCUUGCUUCCUUUGGGUCAACAAACACAUUCGCGUACAUGAUAUCUUGCUUCUCCUCAGCCCCCUUCUUGACCUUCUUCCCAUCCUUGCCAUCCCCAUCUUCGGUGUCAUCGUCACGCUUACGCUUCUUGCCCUCACCUUUCCCCUUCUUUUCAUUCUUCGCCUUUGACUUCUUCCCCUUCUCCUUCUUGGGCUUAUUCAAGAACUCAGGCCUGGUGCACCGGUUGCCUCGAAGCUCAGCAAUGCGGCGUUGAAGGCGUUCUUUCAGCUCCUCAUAAGUCACCGAACGGUCCUCGGACACCACUGCCGCCGGAGCAAUCUCCAUCUCAUCCUCCUCCACUCCGUCUUCCGCAUCACCAUCGUCCUCGGAGCUUGCCUCCUCCCCAGAUUCCUCGCUCUCUUCUCCUGACUUCUCCUCCUGAUCCUCCUCCUCUUCCUCCGCCGCCUGGCCGGCGACGGACUUCUUGAGGAGGUCGAGGGUGGAGGCGGGCGGCGCGGAGGGGUCGAGGCGUGCGCGGCGGGCGGCCUUGACGUUGGCGCGGGACUUGGCCUUCAUGGCCGCCUUGGCGGCCUUGGACAGGCCCUGGUACCACGGGCGGUCCUCGUCGCCGGACGGGAGAUAAAAGCGCGGCGGGAUGAGCUGCACGAGGGCGUCGAAGAAGAGGGCAUGCCCGUGGAUGCCACCGCAGUCGGCCGCGGCCAGGAGGUCGGCGGGCAUGGUGGCCGCGAGGGAUUCGUGGUCGAUCGCCGCGGCGGCGGCGGAGGGUUUCCUGCCCAUGGCAGCGAGUGUUGGGGAGGAGGGUUUCGGCGAGAGAGGGGAGGAAUUGGCGUGCGCGUGGCGGCGUGGGCGGGUUUCUAAUCUGAAGAUAGUUAGGUCUUGGGUUUUCUUGGGCUAAGUGGGCUUACGAGCCCGGUGAAUAUGUGAGAAUGCGAUGCUCUUGCUGCUGUGGGCUUUCGCUUUACUAUCUGGUUUGUGGCUACGUGAUUUCAGCCUCGGGCCAUGCCUGUAGCCCGCUAAGGCCCAAAUCCACCCCUGCAACCUUAAUUCUUCUUUUUAAAAGAAAUUGCAACCUGAAUUUAAGAAAUGAAGGAUAGGGAAGUAAUAAUGAGAUGUGAGUUAAACCCUCUCCUUUAUUUGGCUUUAGGCCCUGUUUAGAUUCAAUUUUUUUUCUCAAAGUGAUAAAAAUUUUUGUUGUCAGACUUUGAGCUCAGAAAUCUGACACAGACAAAAAAAUUUAGGUGUUUAGUUGGUUAAAUUUUUUUCUGACACAUUCUGGACUGCAUGCACAGCUGUAAGGGCAUUAAAUGAUCACUUUGCAAAAGCAUGCACAUGCAAACGUUGCUUUGCAUGCUGCAUGGCUGCACUGUUUACCUGUACAUCCAUUCUUCACUUAACAGGAAAUAACACACGCAUAUAUAUAAACAUCAUCAAUUGUAUUUAAUCACAAUCACUCAGCCCUAUUAUUCACCACUAUCCCUGUCACUAUUUUAUAACGAUUACAACUCUUAUUCACACAUCCACACUCGGUCCUCAACCCAGGACGAACAUAAUAAGCAAAGUUCGAUCAAAACUGUUCAUGCGGACAAAACCAUUCAAUCAGAAGUGCACAAAGCAGUAGCGAUUGAAUCACGAAAGUGAUUCAUCUGAUCCAUCUCGUCCUCCACAACCUCAGGUUCUGGCUGAAAUUCGAAUGCCUCUGGUGGCACAUAGUUUGCAUCCCUAUUAAGCUGCUCAAAGUGUCUGUCAUGGACUCCACUAGUCCUCAUGAAAUUGUGUAGUGCCAUACAAGAGACUAUAAUCAUACUUUGCUUUACUGUUGAGUAUGGGGGAAUGUCACGCAGCAUACGCCACUUCAUUUUCAUUACGCCAAAUGCCCUCUCAACGACAUUCCUAAGAGAUGAAUGCGUAAAGUUGAAGAUUUCUUCUUUACCUUGAGGGCCGACGGUUCUAUACUCUUGCAUAUGGUACUUAGUGCCCUUGUAUGGGGCUAGAUAACCGACACGGUUUGGGUAUCCGGAGUCAACAAGAUAGUAUUUGCCUGUACGUAGAUUAUCAUAUCUAUGAUCACAAUCAUGCCUAAUGAGAUAACAUGGAUGAACAUGCGACCUAACAAGAAUGUACCUAGAGGUGGAUGAGGGAAUUGAUCAGAGAAUGUUGAUGUUGCAUCAUUGAAUACCCUCAUAUCAUGAGCAGACCCAGGCCAUCCAGCAAGGACAAAACUGAACCUCAUGUCAAAGUCACACACAGCCAAGACAUUCUGAGUUGUUCUACCCUUGCGGUUCAAGUACUGGAUAAACAUAUUACUAGGCACAAUCAUUGGUAUGUGGGUUCCAUCUAUUGCCCCUAUGCAGUCUUUGAAGUGUGGAUAGAACCUAGGGCUCCUAAGUCUCUCAUGCAUAGUACUGAAUGUAGGGUCAACAGGUUUUAGGAUGUUAGCAGCCAACCUAUCCAUACAUACCAACACUUUGUUGAAUAGCCUAGAGAUAGUACCCAUAGACCUCUCAAAUCUUUCUUUAGCUUGCCUAACACUUUGACAGUCACCCAGCAUCCAUAAGAAGAUUCCUAGAGCUUCUAAAGAGGUUGAUUUCCUACUGGAUUUGAGGCCAUAGGUUUGUGUCAGGACUUCAUGCAGUUUGUGAAACAUUUCAGGGUUCAUUCUAAACAUGGUGUAGCACCUCUCAGGGUCACGGAGAUUAUCCAUGACCCACUCUAGUCCAGGCAACUUAGGGAUCCUAUAAGGGCGUCUAUUCAAAUACUUAUCAAUAUGAAGGGCUUGUUCUAACAUACCACUGCUUUGAACUGCACGACUAGACAUGAGCUCAAUCAGUAUCAUGUUUUCAAUGGCCUCGUCGAAUUCAUCGCUUAGAUCCGAACUGUGGUCAUCAUCUUCUGGUUCAGCAUCACUGAUCACUUCAAGGUCUUCACUACCCUGUGAAAUCACAUAAUCUGGUCAGCCCCCUUUCUCAAAUGAUAUGAUGUCCCAAACCAUCCACCCAAAUAGAUUCACAUAGCUCGAUGGCCAUGCAACAGAACAUUGAAAUUCAACAAUAAGCUAAAUGGUAGUGCAAAAGGUUCAGAUAACAAUUUCCUGCAAAAGAUCCUAAGUCAACCCCAAAGUGACGCCGCAUGAUGGGAAUUAGUUCACAAAGAUGAUGAUGCCAAAGGUUCCCUAAACCCUAAACCAAACCAAAUAAAUAACACAAAAGCUACCAGCAUUAAGACUAACUUCAUGAACUACAAUUAAGCAGGGGUACUAGUCAUCCACCGGGAGGUUUUCGUUGAUGAUGAUCCACCUGGCCUCAUCGUCCUUGCAAGAUAGGAAGAUGGCCAGUUCAACCUCACUGUGGCAGAUCUUCCUGAUGGCAAGGAAGGACGUCUUGGUAUGUGCAGAUAUUCCCAUACCCAGUGCAAUGUCAUACGCCUUCUCGACCUUCUCUUCCUUUGACAAAGAUGAACGUUUAUGCUGGUGCCGCUCAUUUCUCUUGUGUUGCAUCUCUAGGAUGGAACCAAACAAGUUAACCUUCUGCCUCUCAAUGUCAUUGGCUUCACACUGAUGAGUCUCCCACGACCUAGCAGUGGAGCUCUUAGUCUUCUUGCUAGGGCUGGAGACAGAAGGACUGCUGCUAGAAGGCCUCUUUCUUCCUUGGCUUCCAGGUGUUCUAUAUCCUUGGCUUCCAGGUGUGCCAUACCCUUGGCUUCCAGGUGCUUGAACAUCUUGUUGUUCAUCAUGCUGCGCCUCGUCAUCGGAAUCAUCUAAGGGGAUGGCACCAGUCUCUGCACCAGUACCAGGCCUGUAUGCAGUUGAGCCAUCAACUGUCCAUCCUUCAAAUAUGUCAUCAAGCUGACCAAUGUAGUCAGGCAUUCCUUGAUCCCUUAUCUUCAUCAAUGCCUUCUUCCCCUAGAACAACAAUCAUAUUCUUGUAAGACUGCAAGCAUAGUCUUCUAUUAUAAACCUAAAUUAAUUGGAGAGUACCUUCGUCUCCCUCUCCCACCAAGCAUCAUCAGCUUCAAUUGUGUUGCCACUACCUCCCAGGCCAGAAGCCUUGCGCAGAGCCUUGCAUAUCCUCCACUCAGCCUUCAGAUCUUGUAGCUUACUACUAAACUGGUCCUUCUCGUGAACUAACCCAGUAGCCAAGAAGUACCUAUGUUUGAUGUCUCUCCACCCAGCAACGCUCAUGACUCCAUUGUUGUAGUUGCCAUUUUUAAUUUGAGCGUGGUACACGUCAAUAAAUACGCGGAGUCGCGCCGGAUCCCAACUACCUUUGUGUUUUAAAACCUAGACCAGAGAACUACUUCAGGUGCAACAAUAGCGCAGAAAAGAAUAGAAGAACCCAGAUUCGCAAUACAAAGAACAAUAACACUAAAACUGGCAUGACAAUCUACACUAUAACAUGCAUGACAUUGUACACAAUAAUAGAAUAAGUACAGUAAAGCAUUCAUGACAAUUUACACGACAACAAAAAAAAAGAAAUGCAAGAUUUUUACCGGAUAUCGGAAGCCGUCCGUGCCGGGGAGGACUUCUUCUCCUCCUGGCCUUGCUCCCCGGGAACGGGCAGCACGACCCAUGCGUGGGCUACCCGCUCCAACAGCUGACCUUCGACCACUGGAACCGCCGGGAACGAAAGUCAUCCCCGGCGCCGCUGGAGGCUCGAAGUGGCCGUAUCCGCCCGGGGAAGAAACGCCUCCCCCAGAUCCGCUAGGGAGCCAGGGGAUCCGGGACGAAGACGGUUGAAAAGGGCGGCCAUCGGGGAGUGGGGAGUCAACGCGGCGAGGAGGGUUGAAACUCAAUGAACGGGAAGCGGAUCGAGGGGGAACGGGCUGACCUAACCCCAUUGGAGUCCAGUCCGAGCCGUAGUUGAUGUCCAGAGAGGCAAGCCGCGGGUUAAGGAAGCUGCUGCUGCCGGCGCCGUCGUUCGUCAACGGCGGAUCUUGGGGGGCGUCUGGCAUGGCGGCAUCAUGGACGCCGAACACCUCUUCGUCGGCGUAGUGACCACCGGUGAAGCAGUCGCCGUGGGAUCCGUCCAUGGAUUCGGAGGAUGUGGCCGAGAAGCGGGGCGGCGGCGUGGAUUGGGCGGCUAGGGUUUGUUCGCGGGGGAGACGGGAGGAUGGCGAGACGGGAGGAGACGGGACGAAUGCGGCUAGGGUUUGAGGGAGGAUGCGGAAAUGAGGGGGCCGCUGGCGGAUCGGGAUUAAAAGGCGGAUUGGUGGGCUCUGCUUGGGAGUGAGUGCACAGUUCCAGGCCUUGCAGGCCAAAAUUUUAGCCCAAAAAUUUUUGGACCCUGUUUAGUUCCCAAGUCCAAAAUUCACAAAAUUUUUGCUGUUUGGGCCAAAAAUUUUCAUAUCUAAACAGGGCCUUAUUUAUAGGUCCAAUUUGCAUAGCAGAAGGGAAUUGGUUGUUGUGGGUUGUUGUGGCUGGGGCUAAAACAUUAUUUCCCUCUCUUUUUUUUUUAGGCAUUCUUUCCCUAUCCUUUGUUGAUAUGUGGAAUGCAUUUGAGCUGGGGAUUUAUAGUUUUAUGACCAUCCAGGCUUUGGGAUAAGAGGACAAACUUCUGUCUCACAGUUUUAAACCGAGGAUGAGGGGGACAAAUAUUAUAAGAUACGUGCAACAUUACCAUACUGCACUUGGUUAUAUUACCUUUUGAACGUUGAUAUUUCAGCGUACCAAACAAAAGGGAUUGGGAUGUCCACCUCUGUUUUGAUUUGGUUUUCAUUUUUCAAACCACGUCGCAUCCAAAACUGCCUGAGGUUUUGUUUUUAGUCGGCAUACUUAUCCUUUUUUGAUACCAAAUCAUCUUUACUCUUUUUCUUAGAAACCAAACAUUUUCUAAGUUUGAUCAUUCUAUAUAAAAUAAUAAUAUUUAUAAUAUCAACAUUCAGUUAAUUAUAAAAUAUAUUUUUAUAGUAUAUCCCUUUAGACUAAAGAAUAUUAAUAACAUUUUCUAUAAAAAUUUUCUAAAAAGUUAGACUCAAUUCAAACCCAGUAUCACAACUUUUGGUGACAUAGACAGGAUACGUUCACUAACAAUAGAUUUGAGUCAUACAGGAGCUUAGCAACAAACAUCCAUAAACACUGCUAAGUUGAUGUGUUAUGAACUUAACCACGCUUGUUAGAGCAACUAUACGUAGGUUUAGAGCUUGUUCACUUAAGCUUAUCUGCCGAAUCAGCCAGACAUUCAGCAAUAUUUUUCUCUUAUAACAAAUUAAUAAUUAUUAUCUAUGAUCACAACCUCUGAUUUCCCACUUCCGCUAUUUUUAAGUGCUACCGUCACUUAUAACACUAUUAGUAUACUGCAAAGAAAAUAGUCCGAUACACAAAUAGAUUUUGAACCCUUUUGAAGGCAAUAUGUCCUUAAGAGCAAGUUUAAUAAUACAGCCUAUUUGCUAGCUGUAAGGUUCUGUACAACCUUUUCUCAGCCUACUCAUACAAUAGUUAGCUAUUCACUAUUAAUAUAUGACCUACUUAUCUCUCUUACAAAGUUUUUUGGUUCUUGUGUGUAAGCUGGCUGUAAGCUUACAGCCUGCUUCUUCUCUCUCCUCUCUUUUCACCUCCACAUCAGCAUUUAGCGAGCUUACAACCCACCAUAAUACUUGCUCUGACAAUACAACGGCGGAAGCCUGAAGAAGCUUCCUAUACGGCAUAUAUGUAGCUUGGGCAGCGUCUCUUGUCCCUCCAAAUUGGACUUUAAGUUGAUCGAUGAAAUGGAAAUUAAACGUACUACAAAACAGAUUGAAAAUUUUUUUAAUGAUAUUCGUAUAGUAGUGUAGCAACCUUUUUAUAAUUGGGCCUUGUUUAGUUCCAAAAAAUUUUACAAAAUAGAAAUAGUACCACUUUCGUUUGUAUUUGACAAAUAUUAUCCAAACAUAUACUACCUAGACUCAAAAGAUUCGUCUCGUCAAUUUUGACCAAACUGUGCAAUUAGUUUUUAUUUUCGUCUAUAUUUAAUACUUCAUGUAUGCGUUUAAAGAUUUGAUGUGACGGAGAAUCUGAAAAAUUUUGCAAAAUUUUCUGGAAAGUAAGGCCUUGUUUAGUUCCCAAAAACUUUUGCAAAAUUUUUCAGAUUCCCCGUCACAUCGAAUCUUUAGACAUAUGCAUGAAGUACUAAAUAUAGAUAAAAAUGAAAACUAAUUGCACAGUUUGGUCGGAAUUGACGAGACAAAUCUUUUGAGCCUAGUUAGUCUAUGAUUAGAUAAUAUUUGUCUAAUACAAACGAAAAAGCUACAGUGUUCAUUUUGCAAAAUAUUUUGGAACUAAACAAGGCCUAAGGCCUUGUUCUUAUGGCGCCACUGAAUUCAUAUACCCUCGGCGCGCGGGCGUCGUCCUCCCCAGGACGCGACGCGACUAGCCAGUCUCGCCGCUUGCGCGAAACGAGAAGCCGGUGGGCUACGACCGCAACCGCAAGGCAUCGAUGGCUCGAUCCCUUUCGACUUUCGAGGCGAAUGGCGACGCAUGGAAGAUCUCAGGGCUUGUUUAGUUCGCAAAAUUUUUCAAGAUUCUCCGUCACAUCGAAUCUUGCGGCACAUGUAUAGAGCAUUAAAUAUACAUAAAAACAAAAACUAUUUGCACAGUUCAUCUGUAAACCGCGAGAUGAAUCUUUUAAACCUAGUUACUCUAUAAUUGGACAAUGUUUGUCAAAUAAAAACGAAAAUGCUACAGUACCGUUUUUCACAACUUUUUGCGAACUGAACAAGGCCUCACAUUCCCGUGCAUAGCAUAGCUGCGGCAAGCAAGUUGAAACAGAAAGGCAUUAUCAUCAAGCAACUUGCAAUUCUCUCUCGAGAUAUUCUCUCCUCGUUUGUACUAGGGGGCACGUACAUCAAGGAUAUAAAAAAAAUCGGAAAAAAGAACUUGUGUGUCGCUCCGAACCCAGCAGACCUUGUUUGUCAGUUCAUCUAAGGCCACGUUUAGAUUGGGGAUAAAAAUUUUCUGGGUGUCACAUCGGAUAUGUCGAAAAAAUGUUGGGAGAGAUUUUUAGAAACUAAUAAAAAAAACAAAUUACAUAGCUUGUCAGGAAACUGCAAGACAAAUUUAUUAAGCAUAAUUAAUCUGUCAUUAGCAUACGUGGGUUACUGUAGCACUUAAGGUUAAUCAUAGAGUUUCUAGGCUUAAAAGAUUCGUCUCGCGAUUCUCAACUAAACUGUGUAAUUAGUUCAUUUUUUUUAUCUACAUUUAAUGUUCCAUGCAUGUGUCCAAAGAUUCGAUGGGAUGGAUGAAAAAAUUUUAAGUGGGGAACUAAACAGGGCCUAAAAAUUAAAAACUUCUCACGGUUCCUCAUCACAUCAAAUCAUGUGAUAUAUAUAUAUAUAUAUAUAUAUAUAUAUAUAUAUAUAUAUAUAUAUAUAUAUAUGAAUCAUUAAAUAUAGAUGAAAAUAAAAACUAAUUGUACAAUUUGUCUGUAAAUCGCGAGAUAAAUUUUUUAACUCUAGUUACUCUAUAAUUAGACAUAUUUAUAAAAUAAAAACAAAAAUACUAUAGUGUCAAAAUCAACUUUUCGGAUGUAAACAAGACUCCCAAAACGCGUCUUGAUACAGGCGAUCUGACCGACCGUGCGCUGCGGAUAGCAGGCAAAAAAAAAAAAAGAGAGAUAAACCUCGUGUAAGGCUUUGUUUAGUUAAAAAAAUUUUAGUUUUGGUUAUUAUAGUAUUUUCGUUUAUAUUUAACGAAUUUUAUUUAAUCAUAGAUUAAUUAGGCUUAAAAGAUUUAUCUUAUAAAUUACGAGCAAACUAUACAAGUAGAUUUUAUUUUUAUUUAUAUUUAAUACUUAAUACAUGCGUUCAAAGAUUCGAUACGAAAAAUCUUAUGCGUUUAAAGAUUCGAUACAAAAAAUCUUAAAAAAAUUUAGGAAAUUUUGGAACCCGUCAUUUCGAAUCUUUGGUUGUAUGCAUGGAGCAUUAAAUAUAAAUAUAAAUAAAAACUAAUUGUACAGUUUAACUGUAAUUUGUGAGAUGAAUCUUUUGAGCCUAGUUACUUUUUAAUUGGACAAUGUUUGUCAAAUAAAAACGAAAGUGCUACAAUAACUAAAACUCUAAAAUUUUGCGAACUAAACAAGCCCUGAACGAGGCCGUGAUCGAGCGGUCGCCUCCUGGUGCGUGCGUGAUGCGUGAAAGGAACACGAACCGGGGGGAUCGGUCCCGCUCUUGCCGUGGCGUGCCGUGUCAUCAGAUUCGGACAUCCACCUGAUGUGCUCUCUCUUCUCCUGCAAGCUACUCGCACUACUAGGUUUGCUAAUCCCAGUCAGGAGAGCGGGACGGGGACGCCGACGGUGACGGCCAUCGAUUAAUAAGGUAUAACUUUCAUCACAUCAAAUAUUUAGAUACAUACAUAAAAUACUAAAUAUAAACCAUUUAUAAAACAAAAUCAUAGCUAGAGAGUAAUAAUUUAUAAUACAAAUCUUUUCAGCUUAAUUAAAAAUAAUUAAAUAUUAAUUAUUAAAUAAAACAAAAAAUACUAUAAUAUAUAUUAAACUUUAAAAUCCUCCACUAAACACCCAAUAAAUUUGUCAAUAAUGCACGCGGCGCGGCGCGAAUCCAAUCCGCCGUCUCACUCUCUCCCGAUCGAACCAGCAGGGCUAGCGUCCCUUUUCACGUGAGAUCGCUAUCAGGAGGAACAGCGUAGCAUGCCGUAGCGCUAGCGCCCGUGGCCCGUGGGGCGACCGCACCGCUGCCGCCGCCGCCGCCGCCGCCUAACCCAAUCGCCAUCACAUGCGGAGGCGAGCUAGCUGUCGCCUGACGCCGGAGUGACAUGCAUUCACGGAUCACGGGACACACUCACAGCGAAACGAACUCGCUGCCGCGACGACGCCGUCCGCCCCGGUAGAGCUCAUCCGCGUUGCGGACACUACGAUGUGGCCCAUAGACCAUAGUAUAGGUCCACGUUGGCCCCAUGCCCUGACAGGCCGCCUGCCUACCCGGCUGAUCCACGUCGAAAGAUGCGAAGAUAUUGCUCCGAGGCGAUAUAAGGCUAUCUCCAACGAACUCAAACUUAAAAUAGGUCUCCAAUACAAUACCUAUAGCCUCCAACAGAGUAUCAUACAGAAGACCUAUUUUGGGUAUCAGGAGAGGCAUAACUCAAAUUUGGGUAUCCUCUCUCCUCGAGACCCAUUUACAGAGAGUGUUGUCUUUUAAAUCUUGUUGUUGGAGAAGACUAAAAAUAGGUAUGGAACCUUUUACCUGUAGCGCUACCCAAAAGACAAAUGAGUCUUGUAUUUUGGAUGACGAUUGUUGGAGAUACACCAAAAACUAAAAAGUUUUUAAAAUUCUACAUCAUUUCAAAUCUUGUGACACAUAAAUAAAACAUUAAAUAUAGAUAAAAUUAAAAACUAAUUACACAGUUUAACUAUAAAUUAUGAGACAAAUCUUUUAAUCCUAGUUAAUCUAUGAUUGGACAAUAUUUAUCAUAAAUAAACAAAAAUACUAUAAUAGCGAAAUUAAAAAAAAAUCACAUCUAAACUAGACGUAGGUUUCGUUCGGCUUCCUUCGGCAUCUCAUUCAUCAUCAGGAGACAAAAAAAAAUGAAAAUAAUAAAAAAAAUGCCGUGCCAUGCCUUCGCCAUCGCCAGUGCGUUUCUAUAUCGACUAGACGGGGCAGUGACAACUGACAAGCUCACAAUGAUUGCCAGCAGGAAAAUAGGACAAAAGAGAAGAGAUACAAGUGCUUUGGAGUUCCAUAAAAAAAGGGAUUUAAUUUUUUGGACUGAUAAUGCAAACAAGAUAAAGGGAUAAGGGAUAAGGCCUUGCUUACUUCGUUCCAAAAACCAAAAAAUUUUUAAGAUUCUCCAUCACAUCGAAUCUUGCGGCAAAUGCAUAAAGCAUUAAAUAUAAACGAAAAUAAAAAACUAAUUACACAGUUUGUCUGUAAAUCACGAGAUGAAUCUUUUGAUCCUAGUUAGUCUAUAAUUAAACAAUAUUUGUCACAAACAAACAAAAAUGCUACGAUAGCGAAAUCAAAAAAGUUUUCACACGAGGCCUAACGCAAGUGCUAACACGCUGCCGAAGUGCUUGUCCGCUUCGAGAACAGCAUUUCCCAGUACUACUACUUUAUUAUUCGAGCCGGUCCACAACCGGGGAUCAGGCCUUUUAUCACGUUAAAUUUUUAGAUGUAUGUAUAAAACACUAAAUAUAGAUAUAAAAAGUAACUAAUAUAUAGUUCAUCUGUAAUUUGUGAGAUAAAAUAUUUAAGUCUAAUUAGUCCUAAUUAGAUCAAAAUUGUUAAAUACAAACAAAAGUGCUACAGUAUCUAAAAACUAAAAAAAUUUGCCAACUAAACAAGGCCUCACUCGUAUAAUCGAGACUAAAAGAUAGUUCCAUUAAUAAUCAUCAAGUAAGGCCUUGUUAUUUGUUGGGGUGAAAUUUUUUUAGAUACUAUAGUAUUUUUUUUGUAUUUGGUAAUUAUUAGUUAAUUAUGAAUAAUUAGAAUUAAAAAUUUUGUCUCGUAAAUUACAGAUAAACUGUACAAUUAGUUAUUAUUUUAUAUCUAUAUUUAAUGCUCACAAGAUUCAACAAAUGAUUUUUUUCAAAAAAAAGUUUUUAUUUUUUUGAUAAAAAAAUAGUUUUUAGGGGGAAGCCUAAAUACCAAGGUCGCCAUAACGGAACGGUCAAUAGUCAAACCACGUCCAUACUACUUCCCACAGCCCCCCGCACAGGACUGUUCCGCCGCCGUCCGAUGGGAUCCGACGGUCACCAUCUAACCUCUGCACAAGGACCCCACACCCGCACCGCUGCUGGCUCUGCUCCAAUAAAUUUCGAACACGUAGUGCUCCUGCUGCCACAGGCCCACAGCGCAUCGUCACCCUGUCCCUCUGUUUUUCCUCUUCUUUUCUCUCGGAAGUCCCAGCCCGGCAGGCAGUCACCACUCCAAAAGGCGGGCACCAAACACCAACCCGAGCACGAGCGCGGAGCGCCCAACCAAAUGGCGCCGCACACCACCGCGGCGGGAGGCGGGGGCGGGGGCGAGGAGGAGGUGUCGGAGGCGGCGGCCGCAUCCCCAGCCGCGCUGCGGCACCGCCACGCGGGCGGCAAGGGCGACGGCGACGGCGACGGGCUGGGCGGCAAUGGCGGCGGCGCUGGGGCCGACGGCGGCGGCCAGGCGGCGGCGUCCGUGGAGCGGGUGUUCGCGGACAAGGCGUUGCCGUCGUGGCGGGAGCAGCUGACGCUGCGGGCGUUCGUCGUCAGCGCGCUGCUCGCCGUCAUGUUCAGCGUCAUCGUCAUGAAGCUCAACCUCACCACGGGGAUCAUCCCUUCCCUCAACGUCUCCGCGGGGCUGCUCGGCUUCUUCUUCGUCCGCAUGUGGACCGCCGCCGUCGAGCGGAUGGGAUUCCUCCGCCAGCCCUUCACCAGGCAGGAGAACACCGUCAUCCAGACCUGCGUCGUCUCCGCCUACGGCAUCGCCUUCAGCGGUCGGUAACCAACCACCAGACCCCCUCCCCUCCCGUCCCGAACUAUGUAUGCUUCGCUAGUACUACUAGUGUAUACUAAUUCGUAAUUUCCUGUCAACGCCGUUGUCUGCUUGAGUUGAGAGGAAAUUGUGGUGAUCGUGCUCUUGGGAGCGGUUGUUGCGUCGAUUUCAUGCUCGCCUUCGUAUGAAUUGCCGAUGUGCCGAUCGAAUUGUAUGAGCCGCUGAUGUGUCGUUCGAAUUGGUUGAACGAACAGUGGAUUGUUUGGUUUGUCUAUAGUGGCUUUUGGGUGUGGGAGUAGUCUGAGUGUAUGACGCAGAUACAGAGAGUCACAGGGUGGCACAGCGUUCGCUGUAGUUGGUAAGCCUGAAACGUCAGGGAAUCGAUUGUUCUUUUGCCCCAAAGGAAAACACCAACCAAUCGCUUUCAGUAGCGACUCGAAAAUAGCGUUCUCGGCAAAAUAAACGAUUGGUAAAGGACCAAAAAUUUCUUGGUCGUUUCGGACUUCUUGUCCACUGCAUCACCGUUAGGUGGACUCCACGGUGAUUAUGUGGUCUCAGGGAGUGCAUGAUUGAUAGCCAUAGGAUAAUCACCUAUUUUUCAAUGGAAGGCCUAGAGGGCUAGUGAUGAAAUUGGCGAAAGUUUGUGGUUGCUUCUUGUGCUGAAUAAACAUGUAAAAAGUCAACAAAAAAAAUUUCAAAUAUUUGGCGCUCAUAAUUAGGUGAUGAGCCUGCUUGGGUUGACUCCUCCCCUUAAAAUAGAGGCAUGGUACAUGAAGUACAUGCGCUGUUUUUUUUUCCUUUGGCAGACAUGACACAUGCAUCUGAAGCAUUGGUCGAACAUAAAUAACUAUUUAUGAUCUGCAGGCUUAUUUGUGAACCAUGUUAUUUGGUGCGUUGAUGCCCAAUCUAUCAUGUGCAACCACUGGACUUGCAGGCUGAAAUAAUUUGAAAUUGCAUAACAAAAUGGCCCAUACGCAUACGCAUAGGUCAGUCAGCUGGAAUUAAGAAACUACUCUUAUCAGCAAGUUUAAAUUUGCAUAUGUCCUCCACUGCAGAACUGCAAAUCUGCAACAAUGCUUUCAGGAAAUGAGUGAUUAUCUGUGUUUUGAAGUGUUCAUAGUGUGAUCAGAUCAUUUAAGGCGAGAGACAAGUAGCAUGUUUUGGUGCCUUAUCUGUUGAAAUGAAAUAAGUAAUCAAAACAUUGUUUUUCCUGUUCAAGAGUGUGACUAACAUCACUGCAUCAGCUAAGUAUGUUGAGUUGAAGCCAACCAAAAAUAUGCAAAAUGACUUAUAGUCUUCUAUUCAAAUUAAUCAGGUGGCUUUGGCAGCUAUCUAUUUGGAAUGAGUGACAAAAUAGCUAAUCAAGCAACAGAGGCUAAAGAUGCUAAUAACAUAAAGGAUCCUCACCUUGGAUGGAUGAUAGGGUUCCUAUUCCUUGUCAGUUUUAUUGGUCUCUUUGCGCUUGUGCCCCUAAGAAAGGUAUGUCUCCAACUCUUUUGUCCAUUAUGUUCUUACUGAUUUACUGUAUGGAAGCAAACUUGUUCUUAUCAGCUUAAUUUUGUUUCAGAUUAUGAUUGUUGACUACAAGCUGACCUAUCCAAGUGGCACAGCCACUGCAUAUCUCAUCAACGGUUUUCACACACCUGAGGGAGCCAAGCUUGCAAAGUAUGUCUAUACAGUUCUGCUUUUGGCUACUUUGACCUUGUGAAAACUGUAUCCAUUAUUUUCACCACCUGGUCCAUCUUGUGCAACUCCACUUACAAUGAUAAUAAUAUAUUUCAGGAAGCAAGUAAAGACGUUGGGCAAGUACUUCGUGUUCAGCUUUUUCUGGGGCCUUUUUCAGUGGUUCUACACUGCAGGGGAUGAGUGUGGAUUCAAAAAUUUCCCAACAUUGGGCCUUGAAGCUUAUAACAAUAGGUCAGAACUGUGACACUAUCCUAGAUAUGACACUUGCUGAGUAGAAUGUUCAAUAUCUGGAAUAGUUUAUACAUCUUCCAUCUGGUAAAACAAUGAGAGCUUGCAAAUUCAUUUGUGCCAUCUCUUGUUAUGCUGCACAAGUAAAACAGCAGUUAUUUAUGCCAAGCAUCUGAAGUUUUGCUUAGUAUUUUCAAUUGGCUAGGCGCCAAUUCAGAGGUAUUGGUCUCUGAUGCUAAACUUGGCUUAUUGUCUUUCAGGUUCUACUUUGACUUCUCUCCUACGUACGUUGGAGUUGGCAUGAUCUGCCCGUACAUCGUUAAUGUGUCUGUUCUACUGGGUGGUAUUCUCUCAUGGGGUGUAAUGUGGCCUCUCAUUGCCAAGAAGAAGGGGAGUUGGUACCCGGCUAACCUCGAAGACUCAAGUCUACAUGGGCUGCAGGCUUACAGGGUAAACAUCAAUCCUACUUUUGGCUGUUCUGUUCUCUUUUCCCAAAGCUAUACCAUUCAGCUUCAUCACAUGAGAACAUUAGUUUUGUGACGAAGAGUUCAACUGCUAGUUCCUUGCAAUUGCAGGUUUUCAUUUCCAUUGCUUUGAUCCUUGGGGAUGGUUUAUACAACUUCAUUAAGGUGCUGAUCCGCACAAUUGCGGGCUUCAUAUCAAUGGUGCAGCAAAAUUCAAAAAUCAUGCUUCCUGUUUCAGACAAUGGCAGUUCCAUGUCCAGUACCGAAGCUGUAUCCUUUGACGAUGAACGUCGCAUUGAGAUUUUUCUGAAAGAUCAAAUUCCCAAGUCAGUUGCAUAUGGGGGCUAUGUUGCAGUUGCCGCAAUAUCUAUCGGCACCCUUCCUCAGAUCUUCCCGCAGCUUAAGUGGUACUACAUUUUGGUUGCCUAUGUCGUGGCACCUGUCCUGGCCUUCUGCAACGCUUAUGGAAGUGGCCUCACUGAUUGGUCUCUCGCCUCCACCUACGGCAAGCUCGCCAUCUUCGUGUUCGGUGCAUGGGCCGGGCUCUCGCAAGGUGGCGUGCUCGUUGGGCUCGCUGCUUGUGGUGUCAUGAUGAGCAUCGUGUCGACCGCCUCAGACCUGAUGCAAGACUUCAAGACUGGGUACCUGACACUGGCGUCACCGAGGUCUAUGUUCAUCAGCCAGGUGAUCGGCACCGGGAUGGGGUGUGUUAUCGGCCCCUGCGUCUUCUGGCUCUUCUACAAGGCGUUCGGUGACAUUGGCGAGAGUGGCACCGAGUACCCGGCACCCUACGCCAUCGUGUACCGCAACAUGGCCAUCCUCGGCGUGGAUGGCUUCCGCUCCCUCCCGGAAAACUGCCUCACCCUCUGCUACAUUUUCUUUGCGGCAGCGAUCGUCAUCAACCUUGUGAGGGACCUGACCCCACAGAGGGUGUCGAGGUUCAUCCCGCUGCCAAUGGCGAUGGCAAUCCCGUUCUACAUCGGAUCCUACUUCGCCAUCGACAUGUUUCUGGGCUGCGUGAUCCUCUUCGUGUGGGAGCAGCUGAACAAGGCGAAAGCGGACGCGUUUGGACCUGCGGUCGCGUCGGGACUGAUCUGCGGAGAUGGCAUCUGGACCCUGCCGCAGUCCAUUCUGGCCCUCGCCAAGGUGCAGCCUCCCAUUUGCAUGAAGUUUUUGUCCAGAUCGACCAAUGCCAAGGUGGACAGCUUCCUCGGGUUGUCAUGAUUUUACAUAGAAUGGCAAGUAGGCACGCCUUCAUCCUGUAAUUAUUGGUGUAAAAUGUAGAAGAGAAGAGGUUUGCUGUGGAGUGAUCAAAGCUUUGUCCGUGUAGUCUGUAAGAGGAAAGGCUUUACUCAAUGUCCCUCUGCCUUUUUUUGGUUCAAUCCAUGACUAGGGUAUUUCACGGUUAUAUAGGUUUUUUUGGAAUGUGAAACGUUCAAAUUUGCACGAAUGGAAAUCACAAAAGGCAGAUCUAGCGCCAGGGAACUUUGAAACUGAUUUUGCUAGAUCCAUCCUGCACACGGUGUUACUUGUACGUUACUUGAGUAGCAAACACAACUGAUGUCCAGCAGGUAGACCUAGUCCAAUCACAUCAUAUGUCCAUUACAUAUAACUGCAUAAGAGAGCAGUACUUAGAUACACACCGAAACCUAGAAGUUAAGCUGUUGACACCCUGAUGACCAUAUGGAAGAUAGAGGCGAUCCUGCAGAGGGUUUACAUUUCUUGCUUGAAACGGCUCCAUACCUACACAGAGCCUGAAGGCUGGACUUGCAACAUGAUCAUCCAUUCGCGGCAGACUUGAAAUGGUUGUCAUCAAUCGUGUUGUAAAUGUCGCCCUGGUCAACAUGAUGUUGGAUGACCGCCCUGUGAAAAGUAACAAGUGACGUACGUAAUUUGUGAUAAAGAACAAAGACAAGAUUCAGAAUUGUAGUUCAUGAUAAAGAAUAAGACUCAUUUCAAUAAAAGGGGUCAAAUAAUUUAAUGAUAAUAUUUGUCUGUAUCAUAUCAGUUUCUGUUUAUAUAGCAAGAAAAAAGAUAAGUCCCUGGGAUUGGGAGGCUGUAAUCAGGAAAAGAAAAACUACCGAGCAGAAUACUAAUAACUAAGAACUCGAAGAAACAAUACACAGGAAAGCAAGCUGCCAGUCUGGUUUUGUUCAUCAUUUAAGAAAGAGAAUAGCAAGUUGAAUACUGUGUAUUUUAGAGGGAGGGAGAAGGCAGAAGAUACCUGACUACAUCUUCUGAUAGUUUAAGACGAUUUGCGACAUCUUUGAUGUGCAGUCCAUGCUCCCGGUCUCUGCAGUUGCAGUCACCAGUCUAUUUCUCAACAAGAUAUGCUCCUCACAUUUGUAAUACAGUAAUAAAUUUGCCGUUAAAACUGGCACCGGAAUACUAGCAAGGUAGAAGAAACAAACCUACUACAAAAUGAGGUUUAUACAAGACACUUGAAUCUAUGGAAUACAAAAUUAGCCUCAGAUGGUGUUCAUCCAAUUCAGUGUUCACCAAAAGGACAAUAAACUUUCCUGAAUUUGUUCUCCUUACAGUUCUUCCGUUGUUUCUAGGUUCAUAACCCUGAGCUAUCCUAGUGUUAGGCUAAACCAUUAUUACUAAGUAUGGCCAUUCUUUACCAUGGAGCUUUUAAAGCUCCGUAGGUUUGGUAUCUCUACCAGCUUUAAAAUACUAUGGGGCUUGGAUUCUUUGGACUAUGCUACUCAUGAACAUGAAUCAUGGGUGUAAGAUUAGUUUUCUUUUACUGGGUCACGGAAAACACAGCAAUAACAUUUGAUAGUAGAAUCAGCUAUAGUUAACUUACAUGGCUGCUGGGUCAUUAAAAACACUCAUGACCAAGUCAGACACGUUGUUUCCAGCAGCAUUUCCUGAUGCAGAAAACGUUGCAGCCUGAGGAAAUAAAUAUGAAACAUUAGAAAGAGACUGGUAGAUAUUUGUAAUACUAUACAGUUAGAGAAACUACCUGAUUAUUAAAGGGCCGAACUUGGUUAGUAUGACCAAGGGUUGCCGUACUGGCAUUUAUUUGGGCCUGCAACCAAUGUCACCAUAAAAAAAAUGAUCACUGGAAAACAUAAAAUCACCCACAAAAAACUUAGUAAGUCACUCAACUCCCGGAAUUAUGUGGGAUCUUAGUACCUUUGGCCUGGUGUGAUCCAGAUGCACCUGAAUGCAGUGCAGAAAGUGAUGGGGUAUUUCAUUGAAGUCUGUCACACGCCUGACAAGAAAUCAUAAACAGUAAGAUUUCAAGAAGUAUGUCUGAAAUAGCUGUAUCAAAUUCACAAUAUAUUUGUCCAGGCAAGGUGAGACUUUAUCCUCAAUACUAGUUCAUAAGUGACCUUGAAUCAUCCCAAGAAGAUCUUGCUACCAAUUUGAGACAUCAGAUGACAAACAACUUUCAAUAUGAUAUAAUGUUGGAUAAGCAACAAUGAAACAUUACAUAUUUCAUUAACAACAACAUACUGGAUUAUAAAUAACCUAGACGGGUUGAUGCAAACCUAGCAACCACUAAGUUGUUAUUUGAAUUUGACACAGCAUAAGCCUUUUAUUUAGUCUUCUACUUUAGCACAGGAAAAAUGAAAUUUUAGUACGGUGGCGCAAUUCCAUGGAAGAGAUCAAACAACACACCAGUAAUCCACAGGAAGCAGACAUUGAAAGUAAGCAUCACAAAUCACCAUGCAAGAGUAGAAAGACUAGUAAGUAUAUAGAGCUCACCGCACAGAGUAGGCAACUAUAUGGCGCUUUCCUUGAAAACCUUUCAAACCGCCAUUGACUAUAACAUAGUCCCCGUCACUUGUAAAACCGAAACAAAGCAACACUAUCAAUUUAGACGCAUGACAAACUAAAUAGUUAAUCUGUAAUUCUUACUUGACAUCAGCCAUUUCCUUAGCGUCGGAAGACUCAUUUUCCCUUGAAAAAAAGAAUGGCAUUAAAUUAAUGGAACAAUCCAAAAGUGCUAAACAUCAAAUACGAUCUGGAGCAUCCUACCAACGAUUCACAUCUAUCUUGCCGGUACCAUCAUGAAGAGUGAAUUGAACAUCUGUGACACGGUGAACCUUAUUCAACAUGCGUCCAACAAGCCUAACCUGCAAUUCAGAGUAAAUACAACAUUUUAAAUGACUUCGACAUGCCAACUAAAUGCUCAAUGCAAAACCGUCUGAAACCAGAUAAAUUAGAUUUCACCAAAAAAAAAGACACUAUAGCAAGUAUUGGAAAAUUUGCAUAAAAGGGAAGCAUUUCAUUGGGACCCACCAUACCCCUAUGUCCCAGAGGCUAAUUUCCAGUAGAACAACAUCAGAUAAAAGAGGUCAUUUUUCUUUCUUAAUGGAUAAUGGGUCUACUAAUGAACAAAUCUUCCAUCCAAGCAGUGUGACCAUCCAAAAUGCAAAUCUUGCGAACGAAUCUUGCAAUUCUAAGCACCGCCCGGGAAAAGGGCGAAAAUCCGUACCGUGGACACCUCAACGCCGUCGAUGGCGAAAUUAGAUUUGUCAUCGCUGGCCUGCGCCGCGUCCAUGAUCUGUUUCACGGUGAGCGGGAGCAGCGUCUGCGCGCUCCGACCCUGCCCACCACACCGGUCGAUCGGGAGCGCACGUAACGGGUCAGCAGGGGAUGGAGAACAAAUGGACGAAAGGGAGCAAUACAAAGGGGAGGGGGGAUUAGGAAGGACCUUGGAGAGGCCGCUGCUCUCCGGGACCGCCGUGGACUGUGAGGGCAUGAAGCCCCCGCCGCCGAAGAGCGAGUUGGCGUUGGCGGCGCCACCGCCACCGCCGCCGUCGUAGUGCCCGCCGCCGCCGCCGUACAUCGCGGCGGUUGAAGCCCUAAACCCUAGGCUUCCCGAGGAAGGAAGGGAGGAGCAAAGGAACGAGGGCGGGAGAACGGUUGGGUUGGGGGAGCCUUUGGCCUCGUCCGCUAUUUUGAGCGGAAAUGCGGGGAGGCAGCAGGCAGGCGGGCGUCGGUUCCAUCGGACGACUAUCCGCGCGUGACUCCGUGUUACUUGGCGCGCGCCCUGGCAGACGGCUCCGUCUCAUCAACGGCAAAGGCCUUGUUUAGUUGCACCUUGAAAAUUUUUAAAAAUAAUUAGAGAUCUAACUGUAUCUAAUAUCUUAUAUAAAUUUGAUCAACCUUAAAAAAAACUUUUAAAUUCUCGAAAAACGAGAUUUACAUUCUUUUAGAGAUGGAGGGAAUAUUAUACAGCUCAUAAUAGAUUAGCAAACUAUACUUCUCGGUAUUAACAUAAAGUCAAGUUUUAGCAAAACAAACAGGACGAAAUUAGGAUUCUAAAAACAUAUAAACAAUAUCAUAAUAGAAAGUCCUAACAUCUUAAAUCCUAUGAAUUAAAAAUUAACAUUGAACAUUUGGGACUUAUGGGUGUUGACAUUUGUUUCGGUCCAUAUUUAUUCGUUGUAUUUGAUAGAAAUAAAAUGUCAAGUCCAUUGGCACAGGGAUACAACAGCGUUGCUGAUGGAAAAUUAUGAAGUUGUCAAAAUCUUAUUAAAAAAACUCUUGUAUUUAUUAUAUUCAAUAUUUGAUUUUUUUGAUAUUAGGUUUGACCAUUUGUCUUAAUAAAAAAUUUAUAAAAAAUAUCAAAUCUUUUAUCAUGGUUUACUUUAUUAAUAAAAGUUUUUUAAAAAAUAAUUUAAAUUUUACUAUAUCUAUAUAAUUUUUUGAAUAAGAUAAAUUAUUAAAUUUAAAAUAAAUAAGUUAAACCUCUUAUAAUCUGGGAGGAAGGUAGUAUUUGUUUAUCGUGCUUGCACAGGCGUUGGCCUUUGGGCGCGAGUGGAUAUCCUGGCCCGCCGAACGGACCAAGGCUAGUUCGUGCUCGUGCGGAAGUGUAGCAAGAGCUCGCUCCUGCAUGCGCGAGCCGGAUUGUGCCAGUGCACGAUGCCGCGGCUCAAGUGUCGAUUAGGCGUUGGAUUGGCGUUCAGAGACGAUCGUGUUUUUCUUUUCUUUUUUUCUAUAAAAAAUAUAUCUGUUGAUUAGAAAUUCUCAAUCAUUAUAAAGGUUGAUACUAAACUGUACUAUUGUCCAUCUAUAAAAACUAAGACACAAUGCACAUAUUUAGACUGAAAUUGUCAUCAUGGUCCUAAUUACAAUUAUUAUAAAGGUGUGUUUGACAACUACAUGAGAAGGGGCACAGUAAUUAGUGGUGAUAAUUGACAGAAGAACCGAGGAAGUUAAAGUAGGAAUUUUACUUUUAGUCUAGUUUGUGGAGUAAAUGAGAGAGGAUGAGGAGUGAAUUCAUAUAUUUUUUUCGCGGUGAAGGUUUUGAGUAAGAAAUUACAAGUCUCGAUGGACGGUGAGGUAUUCAUUAAGUGUAUAAUUCUUACCUUUCCCUCAGGGAAUUGUUUAGUGUAAGUUGUCCCUCUAAAGUCCUAUUUCUUUUUUCACCUAAACUCCCACUUUCGCAAAAACAAAUAAAAGAUUUUUAUGCCCAUGCUCUUCUUUGAACUACUCUUGACCAAACGUGCCGUAGCGGUAAUAAUCAUCAUACAUGAAACCGCCGACUGAUUGAUUCACUAGACAUCAGAAAAAACACAACGAGCCAUUUGCAAUUUUUUUUAAAAAAAAAACAUUGCUACCCGUGACACCUGAUCAUGUUCCUAGUACGACAGAUCCUGCGCAAUCAUCCAGCGUGAUUGAAGCGUUCGCAAAAAAAACAGAUACUGGCCUUGUUUGCUUCCUUUUCAAAACCUAAAAUUUUUUUCAAGAUUCUCCGUCACAUCAAAUAUUUAGACGCAUACAUAGAAUAUUAAAUAUAGAUAAAAUUUAAAAGUAUUUGCAUAUUUUAUAUAUAAUCUGCGGAUAAAUUUUUUGAGUCUAGUUAGUUCAUAAUUAGAUAAUAUUUAUCAAACACAAACGAAAAUACUAUAAUGUUUAAAAAAAAUUGGUUGAAGAAACACGGCCCGUGCAAAACUCCAAACGCCGCGAUGCGAGCCAGUUUCCAAGUGCUCACGGGCAAAACCGCAAAACGUUAAUUUUCUUUAGACGCGGAUACAGCCAUACAGGUACAACAGCCUCCUCGGCCCAUGUGUGCUGUGCUCACCAAUUUAUUCGCAUUCCAAAUUCCAUCCAGCCUGCUCGUUGCUUCGCCUUUGCGCUUUGGCCUCUCGCCGCGCCGGCUCCGCCGUCCGCGUUCUUCGCCACAUCUCUUUCUUCCCGGACUCCGGCGCUCCCCCGCGGACGUACCGGCCAUGGAUCCCCCAUCCGCUCAGGUGAUGUCCACGACCGACGACUUCCAGGACAAGGCCGUCGACGAGUGGUAAGGGGACUCGACUUGACUGCUUUCUCCACUCCAUCCAACCCCGCGUCGAUCCCUCUCACCGAUCCUUCUCCUCUCCGCUUUCUCCGUGGGGUUUGGUUGCAGUUGCUCUUGCUGCUACGAUUGCUGCUCCAGCAUCCUGGACUUCCUCUGCUGCUCGUCUUGAUCGAUCGAUGUCGAUGCUGAUGCUGCUCCUCGACGGCCCUGCGGAAUUUCUCAAGGAAGCGGAGGCCGGCCGGCCACACCGUCGCCUCGCUGAUCUUGGAUUCUAGGAUGUCGUGGGAUUCGUAUGUUCUUUAUGAGGUCCUUCGGUGACGAUAUUUGUAAAGCCGGAUUCAGUUCGUCAGUAACAGUAAGGAAACUUGAUAGACUGCUGCACUAAUCUUCAACCCUGCGGCGAUUUCCUUGUCAGAAAACUUUCUGUGCGCUUGCAGAUCGAUUCUCUGUUUGGAAUUCUUACGGAUGACGUGCGCUCGCACUUGAUACGCUGCUGUAUUACACAUUUAUUUACGUUUCUUGUGCACUGAACAUUGGCAACCAGAGCACUUCAAGUCCUCUUCCCUGCACUAGCAAAUUUUUGCGAUGUGAUUGUUGAUAUGGACAUCCUGCGUUAUGGUGUUUGUCAGUUUGCUAUAUCAUGAUGACUCGUGAUAUUGGAAAGCUGAAUUGGACCACCAGAGAUUACGCUCUUUUUCCGUCCGCGUUUUCCGUUUUCCUGUGGUGGACAGUGGACUGCAGGAUGACAACCCUGACCUUUAACGACAGCUCAUAUUCAGCUGUACUUUCUGUUACUAGUUGAGAUAAAGAAACCGAAUUGAAUUUUUUAUUUCAUUAGGACAAAAUUUAUUUUUCAACCUCCAGUUUUGUAUGGCAGUAUAGUUUUAAGAUUUUAAAUCUGAAUUACGAAAGUGAAUACCGUGUUCGCGUGUUCGGUGUACACUCCAACAUCUAAAACCACUCCAUUGGUUACCUUCCAACAGCUAAGAACGCCUUAUUGGUUUCAGAUUAUAAGUUGUUUUAAUUUUUUACUUAUACAUAGUUUUUUAUACACAUAGAUAUCUGCUAUGUUUCCACUGCACCACAAGACCCAGCUGUGAUAGCUAAGGCUGUUACAGUUGAUGGGUUCAUAGCUUCAAUUACUAAAUCUGUACAGGCCUCUCUAAUCCCACAACUACCAGAAGCAGACGAACUUGAUCAUGAAAUGGGUAACACAUCUGAACCACCUGAAACCCCGGUACCACCAAGACUGUCUGUCAUUACCCCCACAACAUAAAAGCAGUAGGUUAGCGGAGAAAUCCAAAACCACAGAAGGAAAAGGAGCAAUCCAAGUUGCAAAGAAGUUGCUUGUUAAAAAAAAAAAAAAAACUGGGAGACUAUCACCACCAACAACACAAGAGGGGGCUGACCAGUUCAACUUUUAUGCACAACAUUUUGAGCGUCCACUCACUAAGGAGAAGAUGGAUGCCCUCACGGUGCUAAUUGCUUCGGGGCCACAAAAAAGCAAAAAGAAGAGGGGCAAGCUAACCAAAGUGGAAUCUAGAAAUACUCAAGAGCAGUUAGAAGUUUGAUGGAAGUUCUCUAUGCACCUGGUGGUUCAUUUGAUGGGCUUUUGUUGACGUACCUGCUCUUCUGUUUUGGCUUCAGUGCUCUUUAGUGGUUGCUUGUUGAUUAGGCGUGCAUGGUGUUUUUUUAGCUUAGUGAGUUGAUGUGGUCUUGUAGCCUUUUGAUAUUAGUUGUGCCACUUUGUUUGUUUGGCUAAUAAGCCAUGAUAGAACCGCUGGCUGAUUGUUGUGAGAAAAAAAUACUGUUCAAUGACUGAUAGAUUCGGCUGACAAGCUAUUUGGUUAGUCGGUUGUUUGUACAUGUGCUGAUUUCUUGUGUUGCGUCUGACUUAUAGGAGUUGUUUCUGGUGAGUUUUUGUAUCCCUAGUUGUACAGGGGUUUUAGGUCCAGUUUUCUUAAAUUGGGCAAGCUCUUGUUUUACUUUCUUCUUCUAAUAUAAAUCAUGGCAAAACUUUUGAUGUUAUUUAAAAAAAAGAUAUAUGCUAUAUCUAGAUACAUAUAAAAAGAUAUAUCUAGAAAGGACAACAACUUUAAAGUUUAGAAUUAAAUGAGCACCAUCCAAAUUUUUUUUCCAUAUAUUCUAAAAUGUUUAGAAUUCAGUUUAGUCUUAAAAAAAUCAUGUCACCUUAGUUCUUUUCUAAGCUGAUUUAAGGAUCUCCCAACCGUCUCCGCUUCUCUGCUAGCUUAUUGUAGAGCUUGAUCCUUAAGCAUCUGUAUGCUUACAUUCCUCUUUCGUGCAAUAUAAGCAUGUGGGGUUUGACCUCCCCAAUUGUUUGGAAAAGAAAAGAAGACUCCUGGCUGCGGUUCACUUGAGUUUGCUAAUCUGUGCACAACACAAGUGUAUGCUGGCAGUAGGCAGCACUACUUUGUGCCAACUACAUUACUAUAGGUUUACAAUUUUGUUUCAUAUUUUUACAGCGAUCUGAUUUCUAUAGCUGGACGACCCUAUAGGAUAAUGAUCUUGAUGCGCUUCAUUUGUAAGGAAAAAAGAAAGAAAAAUCUAAAUACGCUGCAUUUGGGUGGAAAAAAAAGGGGGGGAUCUAAAUACGCCAGGAAAAAAAGAAAAAAAAUCUAGAUAUCGAUCCUCAGAGUGUUCUAAAAGUUAUCAGCUUCAACCACUGAAAUUCCAGGCUUUAUUUCAGAGAAUUCAUAAUUUCAGAAAUUAAACCCAUGAAUGAGACUAAAAUGCAGAACAAUCUAUUGUACUGUACUAUGCCCUGUUUGGACCAUGGAUGUUUGCUUAUAUUUGUAAUGUUGUAUUUACAUGCUUGUUUGGCAGACGUAAUUAACGUGAGUAGUGCUAAUCAGUUCGAGGCAAAACUCUUUUAUAUCUGACUUCUUGUACUUCAAUUUCAAGGGGCCAAAGGCUGAAUGGGAUUAUUUUGUAUCCAACUUGUGAAUGAAUUACAAUAUUGCAACGCACCAUUGGAAUUGCACUAAAUUUUUUCUAAUGUACCAUAUUUUUUGUGUGGAUAAGUGUCAUAGCUCAAUUCUUGGAACCUCAAAUUUUUUGAGCCCGGGGUACGCUGUCUAAGAUUCUGGGGUUCUAAUUUUGUGUGCCCCAGAUUCUCAGUAUUGUUGUGUGCAGUCAUGCACUAUGAGUUUAAUUUUCUUCUAUUGCAAUGCAGGGACAGGGACAGUUCUGCAACUAAUAAUCAUAUAUAAUAAUGCUACUAUGUAUUUUAAUUGUUAUAAUGGGACUCCAAACAAAUGGCUUACAAACAUGAAGCCAACGUUAAGAUUGUCAUUUUAGCGAAGCCAUUUGUUUGGAGUACCAUUAUAGCAAUUUUCUCAAACAUUUUGCAAGCGCCCCAUCGUUCCUAAAAAAAAAAUCAAUCGCAGCCUCCAAAAGAAAAAAAUCAUGAAUCCUCGGAGACAAGAUACGCGACGAUGACCGUGAUGUCGUCCUGCUUUCCACCAUGCCAUACCUCCUUAUAUUUCUUCAAGUAUCCGAUACCGAACGGCGAGCAUGCCCAACUGUUGUUGGAUAUCGCGUAAGCGAGGCCCGCGACAAUGUCCGCCAUGUUCUUGGGCGAAAAGCCCAGUUCGGUGCCCAUCCGCACGGCGCGCUCGAGCUGCCAGUCGUGCACGUUGUCGAACAGCCCGUCCGUCGCCAUCACCACGACGUCGCCGUGCUCCGCCGCCGGCAUGCCGCCCACCUUCGCCUCGGCGAGGCUGCCUCCACAACCCCUGGCGCUCAGCUGGUACGGCUCGUUGAAGCCGCGCUGCUGCUGCACCGAGCGGUGGAUGAUCUCGCCGCCUCGGAACACGGCGAAGGCGCUGUCGCCGAUGUACGCCCACCUGAGCGCCGCGCCGUGGAGCGACAGGAUGGCGGCCGUCGAGCCCCCCGGUGUUCCGCUCGUGGCCGCGUUCUUGUACGCCCGCUCCAGCACCUUCAUGGGGCAGAGCCGGGGAAGGAGCUUGGGAGCCUUGGCGUUGGCCACCCGCUCCGCCGUCGCCAGAGCGUUCGCCAUGAGAGCUCGCGCGAACGCGCCGGCGUCCACGCCUCGGUCCCGGUACCCGCCGACACCGUCCGCGACGCCGACGACGCCGGCCUCGGCGUGCCCGAAGUGCGCGUCCUCGCCGUGGAGAGGGAGGACGCAUGCCGCCCAGUCCAUCUUCAGAGCGGGAGCGCAUGGCCGCGCGUCGUCACACCGUAGCUCCUCCGCGCGGCGGCGUCCAUGGCCGGCGCCGGCGUCGUCGUCGUCACCGAUCUUCCACUCCGACGGCGCGUGUUCGGUCCCCGGCGAAUCAUCCAAAACGGAGGCGACGAACCUGGAGAUGCUCACGUCGGGGGUUCGUUCCUUGAUCUCGGCUAGCGUUCCCUGGAUCUGCUCCAACUUCUCCAGUGCGCUCGCCAUCUUGGUCGGUCGCCAUGGUGCAUGCAUGUACAGAUAAUAUACCGCCCCUAAUCUAGCCCAAAUGUUCUUGAGAACGAAUUCGAAACGGGCACCAAGGACCAUGUUAGCAAAUGAUGCAGAGCAUGAGACACAAAAAAUUACAUGGAAAAUCCUUGCGGUGAAAAAACAAAAUAUUCUAAACACUUGACUCGAACUCUGGUCUCUAGACGUAUUUCACAAAUAAAGACGCGUAUUAGAGUUCGGAUCGAAUUCUAACUCGUAUUAGAAUUCAGAUCAAGUUCCUUUUUUUUUCUUGAUCGGCAAUUCAGAUCAAGUUAUCACAGACACUGAUGAUGCGUGCACUCGUGUAGCUUCGUGUUUCUGAACUCUGAUGUGCCUCUCGCCAUGCCGUUGGGCUCCCGUUUUAUGGCCUGGAUUCAUGGAAAGUAUGGAACCUACACGUGCGUAGCGUCCUCAGCUCGUCUCGGAGUCGGCCGCUGUUGGCGGCGGGAUCACAUUUAGGAGCCGGAGUGCGGAUCAGGUAACCACGAUUCACGAACGUACGUGUCAAUAGUAUAGCACUAUACAACGUCGCUGGUCUGAAAAAUCAUAGCUGAAAUUACUGCUGUCUGAUUUAUUGUGAGAGAAAAAUACUGUUGACUGACAAAAAAAAUUACGAAAAAAAACAUGCUCGUCACCGGCCGUCAUCAAGAAGUAAGAAUGACAAGGAAAAAGGUGUGUGGGCGUGGAACAUGCAUGGUGCAGGCGUGCAGCUACUCAUGGCCAAGGGGCUCACCACCAUGCCCUACCUCAACGAAUACGAGCCCCCCCCCCCCCCCCCCCCCCAAACCAUCACUUGAGCUUCUGCAGAGUCUCACAGGUUCGGAUUGGCUGCGACACUGCGAUCAGAUGAGGCAGACUAUUUAUCCCCUAUUUGGCUUGCAUCUUGUUGUAUUGUAUUAUCCGACAAAUAAAACCAGUUCACUGGUGUGGUUGAUUGCUAUAUAUAGUCUGUUUAUACUCUUUUCCAACAAUCCUGAUUAUAUAUAUUUGAGUAUAUAUGUUUUGAGAUGAACCUCUAUUUCUAAAGAACGAAAACUGAUUUGUCGGAUUGCAGGACUAUCAUCAGAUACAAAAGAACUCAACAUGGCAUUUGUAAUAAGGCGUGCAGGCACCGCAAGCGUGAAUUUUAUGAUCAAAGCGGCAACUGCCCAUCAUAUGAAACGGCUCACUGUCAGAUCACCUAACGGCUCAGCCGGUCGGCCCUCAGUGGCCUAUGCCUAUAUGACAAUUUUAAUAAGACGAUUCAUGUUCGUUUAACUCUAACAAUAUUUUCAGCAUGGUUUUUCAGAUGCGAACAUACUGUUUUGAUCCUUAGCACUAAAAGCUACUCUGUUCCAAAAAAAGCUUCAUAUUUUAGUUUUAUUCUAAUUCAAACUAUUUUAGCAUUGAGAAGUAUGCAAAUACAUAUCUUAUUACGAAACUACAUUGAGAUAUAUGUUUGCACACUUCUCAAUGUGAAUCCAAUGGAUGAGAGAGAGAGUAUGUGCCCUUAUGAGUAGAAAAAGGGCUUUCGCAACGCCACGCCCGCUGCUAAGAGGUGGAGAAGAACCUACAGAUGUUCCACACAAGCUGUCUCCAAAGGUUACAGAUGUUCCACACAACUCAGAGAUUCCCUUCAUGCGCUCUGCUUCUUGUGUACGUUCCAAUUUUUGUUGAUGAAUUGUCGGUUCCAAUGUUCUUAAGAGAGUAAUCCUCCUCUAAUCUUAAAGCCUAUCAAUGGGUGGCCUGACGCCACGGCUCAUCAUCAUCAUCGACUACGGCUGACAGCAGAUCGCCUCCGCGAACUGGGAUCGAAGAGUUGUAAAAAGAUCGUGCACAAAACCACAACAAUGGACUAUAUUUGAGAUCGGAUAGGGCAUGAUACAAUGUAGGCGACCACUACAGUGAUGUCAUCCGGCUUCCCGCCGAUGAAAGGCUUCCGGCCUGGCUGCGUCCGGCAGGCCGAGCUGUACGGCGUGUCUCUGUCGCGGCAGGUCGCAGCCUCGAAAGCGAAGGCCGCCAUGACCUCCGCCAUGUUCUUGGGCGCGAACCCCAACGCCGUGCCCAUCCGCACGAUGCGCUCGAUCUCGGCGUCGAACACGUUGUCGAACAGCCCGUCCGUGCCCAGAACCACAAUGUCGCCUUCCUUCGCCGCGACCUCGCCGACGUCCGCGUCGGCGAGCCUGUCGCUUUCUUGGUUCGAGCUGAGCUGGUAGGGGCAGUUGAAGUAGUGCUGCUGCGGCCGGAAGCGGCGCAGGAUCCUGCCGCCGCGGAGCACGACGAACCCGCUGUCGCCGACGAACGCCCACUUGAGGGUCCGGCCGGCGAGGGAGACGAUGGCCGCCGUGGACGCGGCGGGCGUGCAGGCCGCGGCCGUCAUCUGGUACGCCAGCUCCAGCAGCGCGCGGGGGCAGAAGCGCGCGCCGUGCACGGCGGUCGUCGCCGCCACCUCCGCGUAGGCGUUGUGCAUGAGCGCGCGGGAGAACGCCGACGCGUCGACGCCGCCGCCGGCGUUGCUGCGGUACCCGCCGACGCCGUCCGCCACGCCAAUGACGCCGGCCUCGGCGUGCCCGAAGUGAGCGUCCUCGUCGUGGUCCUUUAUGUAGGAUGACGCGAACACCAUCCCCAGGUCUCCCUCCGGCUGCUGCGCCUCGUCGUCGUCGCAGUCCAUGGCGUCGCUGGCGCCGUCGUCGUCGUUUGCGUCGCGCGGCGCGAGCAGGACGGCGGCGAAGUUCGCUGCCUCAUCCUGUUGGCCGCGCAGAAUCGCCGGACGCCUGGGGCGGCAUAUGCCGAAGGCGACGCGGAGGGCGUCAGGGAUCCGGCUGUCGAUCUCCGUCAGAGUUUGCGCCAUGUGCUUCUCCAUUGGACUUUCUCUAGCGCUACUCUCUGAGAACUAAAACUAGGGUUCUUGGUUUUUCGAAACGGGGGGCCUCGGCGCAUGCAAGCGGCUGCCUUGCACACGUCGAUCGAUACGAGGCAGCGACGCGUAGUAUGAAUCAAAGACGGGGCUCAUCGUGCUCGUGCGGUUUGCAAGCGUUUAGUUAUAUAGGCACCCAACAAAUAUUCCGACUCGUGCUCUCCCCUCUCCUAUAGCGACACGCUUUUAGUUAGGCCUUGUUUAGUUUGAAAAAAAAUUUGGUUUUGGCUACUGUAGCACUUUUAUUUGUUUGUGACAAAUAUUGUCCAAUUAUGAAUUAACUAGACUCAAAAGAUUCAUCUCGCGAAUUACAACUAAACUGUGUAAUUAGUAUUGAUUUUUGUCUACAUUUAAUAUUUCAUACAUAUGUUACAAGAUUUGAUGUGAUGGGGAAUCUUGAAAUUUUUUAGAAACUAAACAAGGCCUUAGUCCGCUUCGCUUUCCCUUUUUCUCGAUUCCGAUUCUGUUUCGAUGAAAUUGAAAGAACAACGAGCCAACUAGGAACACAUUUUUUUGGUUUUCAUUCUCAAUCCCCGUUGUGGUUUAAUACCCCACCCAGCUAAAUGCAAGCGAUAUUCCCUAAGAAAAGAAAGGGUUUUUAGAAAUAUAUUUGUUUUAGAAUGGAGGGAGUAACUAUGGUUAGUUCAAUUGGUGGGAGAAUAUUUUGAUCAAUUGACCAUGAAUUAGGUUUGCUAAAUGAGAUUGCCAUCUUUAAAAAUUUAGCAAAACAAAAAAAUUUACUCUCCAACAGAUUGACAAAUCAACUUGGUAAUUUUGAGAACUUGACAUCUUCCUCUCCGCACACGCAUAUAUGUGCACGUGCAUCCACUGCACAUCGGAGUUUCCUGUGCGCACGAGUGAUGCUCUUGGUGUCUGCUCCUCCUCGUGACAUUCAGACCUUGUUUAGAUCCAUUUUUUUUUUGGAUUUUGACACUAUAACAUUUUUGUUUUUAUUUGACAAAUAUUAUCCAAUCAUAGAUUAUCUAGGCUUAAAAUAUUUGUCUCACGAUUUACAGGCAAACUGUGCAAUUAGUUUUUAUUUUCAUCUAUAUUUAAUGCUUCAUGCGUGUGCCAUAAGAUUCAAUGUGAUUGGGAAUCUUGAAAAAUUUUAAUUUUUGGGGUGAAAGUUCUAAAAAAUUUCAAAAUUCCCCCAUCACAUCGAAUCUUUAGACGCAUACAUGAAGUAUUAAAUAUAGACAAAAAUAAAAAAUAAUUACACAGUUUACCUGUAAUUUGCGAGACCAAAUAUUUUGAGCCUAGUUAAUCUAUGAUUUGACAAUAGUUAUCAAAUACAAACAAAAAUACUACAAUACCUAAAAUUCAAAUGCUUUGUCAACUAAACAAGGCCUUAAUUUAAUGGAGCCGCCUGCGGUUGCAGGUCCUUGUCUCCUGCCGAAAAGACGUUGAGUGUGUGAAAGCUCUAGUUUGGUUUUGGAUAAUUGAUGAAAUCUAUGAGAACUAACCUUUGGCUCUAAGUGAUAUAUGAGAUAGGUUGGUUCAUAUUGUGGUCGAGCUAGAUGGCACUCAAAUAUGAUGGAGAUGAUCGGAAAUUAUGAUCAAGUGCUCAUAUCUUGCAAAGAAAAAGAAGGGCUCAAGGCAAAGGUAUAAAAUAGGAUAUUUGUUUUUGCCGGUCAAGACGUAAUAGAGUGCGUGAUCGGAUUUAGGAUAGAUAACCGUACUAUUAAGAGGGAAAAUCUUUAAUUGCAAUGGUUAUCUAGUGCCACUAAGUUGAGUCUCAUUUGCAUAUAUUUCUUGCGCUUAGUGAUGUGGUGAAAAUGCAUGAAAAAUCCUAAGAAAAUAUUUGUGAUAUGCUAACUUAAGUGCUUAAUUUAUUUUUGGUACUCAUGAAAAGUUAGUACUUAAAAAGGGUAUGAAAAGAAAAAAGAGAGCUUGCUUGCAUGACAUAAAAACACUCCUUCCUGUAGCAUGCUUGGUGUAUUCGUGUGCAUGCAUGCAUCCACCUUUUUGGCUCUACAGGUUUCGUGUGCUCAGAAAGGUUUUACAAGUGGUUGUAUGCUUUGCGUGGAGUGGUGCUAGGCUGCUAGCUGUUGUGUCUGCCGAUGGGCUGCUGCUACCGCCGCUCGCUUGGAAGGCAGAGAAAAAUUCGAAGAGCCGUUGCCUGCUGUUGCUCUGUUUGCUUUCUCUCGUGGGGCCCCUCACUUGCAUGCAGCUGACCAGGGAGCUUCCGGGAAGCUUCCCAGGAGCGCGUCGGGCCGCUGGCUUCCCACCCGUUGCUGGUGGGGUCACGGCGUCAGGGGGCUUGCAGGUGUGGACGCCCGUGACCUCCCUCGCUCCUUGCUGCUGAUCCCGUAAUAGACCGAGGCCUUCGGCCCAGGCUUCAGUGGCUCGGCCAUUGAACAGAAAAGAAAACAGAGCUGCUCCUUUCCUCUUCCUCUUGCAAACCCUAGAAGAAAAGAGCCCCAAUCCUCCAUCCCUUCACUCCAUUGAUUUGUGCUCCAUUCAAGUGAAGGAUAGUGCUCUAGAGAUCAAUUUGAGAGCUCCAAGAGGAUCCCCUUCAUCUCCUCUCCCUCUCCAUGGUUGGUUCAUGCUCAUGAGAGGAGGUGGUAAAAUCUAGUGUUCUUGUGCAUUUUGUGAUUCAUAUUUGUGGCACUAGAUUGUGAUUGCAAUUGAGGAUUUCUUAUUACUCUUGGUGAUUGCCGUCACCUAGACGGUUGGUGGAUUGGUGAUUGGUGAGGGGAUUUGGUGAUUGUGUCCGCCCCGAAUCAAGAGGUGAUUUGUGAGGGGUUAUUGUGGUUCCCCAGCGAAGUGCCUAAUUCCAACUCUAGUGGAUUGCUCAUGUCAUUCAACUCUAAUCCAUUGGUAGGUUCUUGUGGCGCCUUUUGAUAGGCUCGGUGUGUGAUACCGAUUAGCCACCGAACCACGUGGUGCGGGGGACACAAUGGGGACUAGCUUGCCGGCAAGCAAGUGAACCUCGGGAGAAAAAUAAUUGUGUCAUCUUUGUCUCCCGGUGAAUUGGAUAUCAUCUUGGUGAUUGGCUUCUCUCCAACGUUGGUAUAAAAAGCUCUCUAUCCAUCUUUGCAUUACCAUUAUUUUUUACUUGCAACAUAUUUUGUGUAGUGGUGGUAGAAAUCAAAUAGAGUAGCAUAGCUUAAUUUAUUGUUCUUGAUAGCUCUUUUAGCUUGCUCACUAGUGUAAAAUUAGAGACAUAGUAUUUGUGUGCCAUAGAGAUAAUAAAGAAUUAGAAUUGCAAAUAGGUGGCUUGCCUAGACUAUCUCCAACAAUGGUCACCCAAAAUACAAGACUCAUUUGUCCUUUGGAUAGCGCUACAGGUAAAAGUUUCCAUACCUAUUUUUAGUCUUCUCCAACAACAAGACCUAAAAGACAACACUCUCCGCAAAUGGGUCUCGAGGAGAGAGGAUACCCAAAUUUGGGUUAUGCCUCUCCUGACACCUAAAAUGGGUCUUCUGUAUGGGUACUCUGUUGGAGGCUAUAGGUAUUAUGUUGGAAACCUAUUUUGUGUUUGGCUUCCAAAUAGGUCUUCUAUUGGAGAUAGCCUGUAGAGCUAGAGCAAACCGCAUUUUGCCAUUUGUUUUACUAAUAUUCCGCUCUAGUGCCUUUGUAGAAUUUUAAAUUAGGCUAUUCACCCCCUCUCUAGCUAAUUAGGACCUUUCAGUGUGUACUCCUCUUCGUGAUUCAUGAAUAAAACCUGCUAGCUAGUGAUACUACUAGCCAUGUCCAUCACAAUAAAGGCCUUGUUUAGUUCCCAAUUUUUUUUAGUUUAAGCUACUAUAGCAAUUUUGUUUUUAUUUUAUAGUUAUUGUCCAAUCAUAUCACUUUUUUUUUUAGAAUGGACGACAAAAGUACUGUUAUAAUUUUUAGACGAUAGAAAAGAGAAAAAAUGAUUUACAACAUUAACUUGAGAAGUAUGACAAGCCACAAAAGAUAGUUGCCACACUUUGUCAUGCCGAAUUUCGCCGUACUUUUUAACUUUAUGACAUGUAGAGUCAAAAAAAUCAUGCCUAAGCUUAAUUACAAACCAAACACUUACCAAUUUAAUCAAACUUAUCUAAAAUGGAGUGUGGUAAAGUGUAGCUAUCAACCAAACAACCUCUAAACCAGCCAUUAUAGAGCUACCUUGACCGCGACUACUGAAAAAAGAAGAGACAUAAAAAAGACUACUAAAAAACAAAAACCAACCAAGGCACAGAAAGGACAAUAGGGAAAGAAAGCAAGCACCCUGAAGAUCGUCUGUGCCCUUGAUGCCAUGACGAUCAUGUACUGCUAUGUCAUCCUUGCAUAGCGUACCCACCUGAACUGGGUUGAGGGCAUUCAACUAAAAAUAUCUUCUAUUUCUCUCCUUUUAAAUACUUCACCAAAAGUAGAUAAAAGAACCCAUCCACUUUUCUCCUCUCAUUUUUAUUAAAUUUGCAUCUGCAUCUCCACUAGAAGCUAUCACUCUGUCCCAAAUUAUAAGUCAUUCCAAGAAUUUUGGAGAGUCAAAGUUUUCAAGUUUGACCAAAUUUAUAUAGCAAAAUAAUAACAUUUUUAGUACCAACCAAGUAUCAUUAGAUUCGUUGUUAGUUAUAUUUUCAUAGUGUACAUAUUUUAUGAUAUAAAUCUUUAUAUUUCGAUUCAUCAAAAAAAAUCUUUAUAUUUCUCUCUAUAUUUUUUGUCAAACUUAAAAAUACUUUGACUCUCUAAAAUUCUUGGAAUGACUUAUAAUUUGGAACCGAGGGAGUAUGUAAGACUGACUCCAACAACGGAAAUACAAAAACGACUCAUUCCUGGUUUUGGGUCAUGGUGGCGGCAGGUGCCGAGCAGUGGCAGGGGCCGAGCAGCAGCAGCGGGCGACGCUGCCCCAUCCUCAAUGAUGCCGGCGCACCCCCGUUGAGCCAUGGAGAGGGCCUCCUCACCGGAUCUGGCAACAGUAAGCGUCAGUCCUGGCGUGGCUGAGCCUGAGCGAGAUGGCAAUGCGACCCGAUGGCGGUGGCGCUCGGCACCGGCAGUGCUGGAGGAGUCGCUGUUGCGACGACACCGGGCGGGGCGGGGGGAGGGGGUGCGCCAUGGCUCGUCGUCCCGCCCAGCCAGCCCCUCCUGACGGUGCGGCGGAUGCAGUAGUUCGGCACGCCCUCCAAGAUCAUGGCGUCCUCCACUAGUCCACUUCCUCCUCGUCCUACUCGUUGUAGUCGAGCUCGCGCUACAAUGCACGCCCUAUUCUGUAAGCUCGACAACCAACCAGCGCAUGCAUCGUCCUCUGACAUCCAUGGCAGCGGCAAACCUGCCGGCACCAAACGCAAACAAGAAGGAAACCAGCUUCUCGCGGGCUUCUUCUCACAGAUAUUAAGGCAACCCGACCAACUGCAGUUCUAUCGACCAUGACAUGACCAGCUUCUCGCGGGCUUAGCUUCUCACACAUAGGCAUUGGGAAAUUGAGGGACGAGUUACUUUAGUCUUAAUAUAAUUCCUCCCCUAGGUCAUUGCUGUUAUCAUUAGAUUUCAGCCACAAUAAUUGGAGUUAUGUUUAGUUGUUUGCCCUUCAUCAUCGACAUCAAAGGUGACACAACUAGAUUUUUCAAUUUCUCCUAGUAAUGUGGGAUUCUCCUAGUGUUUUGACAUUUAAAAUUUAGUAUAAACUUUUCCUAGUAAAUACCUCCUAGUGAGGAUUCCCUAGUGUUUGACUAGUGGUAGUGUUUUAUUACUAACUAAAAACACUAGAAGAACUCCACCAUUUUGGUAGUGUGAUGCAAAAAUAUAAAGUAUUCAUAACAAAAUAAGCAUACAUGUCGUGUGCCACCAAAUAUACCAAGUAUACAUGCAUGCAUGCAUGAGUGAAAUAAUAUAUUGAUGGAGUUUAGUAAUAGUAAAAAAUGUUUCUUAACGAACGAAUUUUAGAAUUAGAUAAAAUCUUGGAGGGAGUAUAUUAAAAACAUUAUAAUCUUGGAGGGAAUAUAAAUAACAAAUCAUUUUAAAUAUAUUAAAUGAAUAUUUUAUCUAAUUCUUACUUCAUACAAUUUGUAUAUUAUAACUAAAACAUUAUAAAAUUUAUACAUUUUGCCAGAGUAACAUAUCCAUCGACAGUGUAAUAAGCAUUUGAUUUUAGAAUUCUUUGAUAGAGAAAGUUGCAUAUCUAGAGCGUUGAAUCGACUGUUGAUACCAUAAUAAUGCGUAAGAUAUAUGUAGAUGUGCAAUGUAAAUUAAGCUAAGAUUUCAACCAAACACAAAAGAUACGUAGAUUGAUGUGCAAUGCAAAAGGGAAAAACUAUCAAUGCGGAGUUUUUCAAACUCUAAAAAGGACUAUAAUUUGAACAAUACAACAAUUUUCAAAACUGUAACGUUUGUUGCAUCCAAAUACUUCAUGAUGACACUUCAAACCAAAGUACUCCCUUCAUCCCAAAUUAAGUCAUUCCAAGAUUCUUAGAGAGUUAAAACAUUUCAAGUUUGACCAAAUUUAUUUGAUAAGAUAAUAAUAUUUAUGAUAUCAACAAAGUACCAUAAGAUUCUUCAUUAAUUAUAUUUUUAUAGUAUAUCUAUUUGAUUUCAUAAAUUUUUAUAAUUCUUUCUGUAAUUUUGGUCAAACUUAAAAUGUUUUGAGUCUCCAAGAGUCUUGGAACGACUUAUAAUUUGGGACGAAGGGAGUAUAUUAAAAACAUUAUAUUUUCUAAAACUCUAAAAAUACUUUUAAUCCAACAGGACCUAGCUAAGACACAUAGAUGUUGCAAUGUAAAGGGUGAAAACUAUGAAUAUGGAUGGAAAUUAAAACAUAUAGAGUAAUUGACAAAUCUAUCAAAACCUGACAGAGAUCACGGAGUAUCUACAUAUUAUUGUGUAAGAAACUGAAUAGAGAAACGGCACAAAAAGAUAAAAAAAAAAGUUUGAAUAGUCGCUGGUACUAAUUAAAUCUAUCCACGAGCUUGUACUGUACCUAUAUCUUAGUAAAGCUCUAGCAUGCAUGAGCACAUGUUAAUGCACUCGGUUGCGCUAAUAAAUGAUCAUUUCUCAUGAUCCCGUCAACAAAACUGUCGAGGUUUCCGUUUGCUGCACAUCUGGCCUCACCCAUCACGACUCGUUUCCUCAACUCAUCCACCUUCUCCUGCAUACGCCUUCCUUCUUCUCCUUCCAUGAUCCUCUCGACACAGUCUUCCACUACACUCCUCUUGGUGCUACAGAGCCUGAUCCCCGUCUCCCACACCUUGACGAUGUAAGCGCAGUUGAUGAACUGGUCACCGGACACCGGGUAGCACAGCAGGCGCACCCCAUGCUGUAUGGCCUCCAGCGUGGAGUUCCACCCGCAGUGCGUGAGGUAGCACCCGACGGCGCUGUGCCGGAGGACGUCCUCCUGCGGCGCCCACGCGACGAUCUUGCCGCGGCCGGCGACGGCCUCGGCGUACUGGCGGGGGAGGCCUUCUCGCCACGACGGCUCGUCCUUGAGCGCCCACAGGAACGGCCGGGCGGUGGCCUCCAGCCCGAGCGCGAGCUCGCCGAUGGCGUCUCGACCGAUCGAGGCGACCCAGCUUCCGAACGAGACGUAGAUCACCGACCCCGCGCGCUGCUCGUCUAGCCACUCCACGCAGGUCUCGUCCGCCUGCCACAUGCUUGGGUUCUUGGAGCUGGUGGAGCGUCGUCGUCGUGGUGCCGCCGGGGAGUCAUGCAGCAGAUCGCCUUUGGUAAUGCGACCGUCGUCGAAGCCGCCGCUGGGUGGCGGCAGUAGUGGUCCGACUUGGAGGACCUGUGACGCAUCAGUGCCGGUGUCGUCGCCGUCGCCGGCGCCGGCGCCGGCGGCUUCGACGGGGAAGGUGUUGACGAGGAUAGAGCGGAAACUCUUUGCGCGCUCCAUGGUCUGAAGCCAGAAGGUGAACCUUGAUUUCUGGCACGCCGCGUCGCCCACAAGCCAUGGCAGCUCUGCGGUGCUCAGGCCUAGUUGUGCAGGCAAUACGUGGAGGCUGUCGCCAGUCUUCUGGUGGUCUCCGUUUACUUUGUGUUCUUCACCAGUGUUUAAUCUUUUGGUCGAUAUGGGAAUGCCUACAUGCAUGUGACAAGAAACAGAACAAUGAACAAGAGAAGUUGCAGCUUUGGUAUGAACGGUAGGUUAAACUUCUGCAAAAAUUUGUAUAUUAUGCCAAGUGGUGGUGAUUUAAUUGAUGAAACCCAUCAUAUUGCACCGGUGUUUGAAGCCUAACCACAAGAACAAUACACAACAAUGGUAAAAUAAUAAUGUGUGUUAGCAAAUAGUUGCAGAACAAGGAAAUCACCGAGCGAGAAGAAUGCAAUGGAAUAGUGCGUGGAUCAUGCAGUAAUAGCACAUAGUGCGUACCGUGAUCUGAGAUCAACCCCUUGUCGAUGAGCUCCGGGAUGGCCGCCACGACGCGGUAGGUUGCCAGCAUCGCCGUCCAGAAGCCCACGGCGGGCACGCCGCACCGGGCGGCGACGGGGACCGCCCACGACGCCAGGACGUCGGCGACGAGGCACGCCACGCCGCGGCCCGCUAAUCCGCGCCGAGUCGUCAGCAUCGACUCCAGGCUGGUGGGCAUGUGGUGCUCCAUGGCGCGCGCGAAGCCGGCGAAGCCCGGGGGCUCGCCCACGCCGUCGUCCGGGACACCGCUGUCUAUGGACGCGAGCUCGACGCCGACGCCCACCUGAUGACCGCAGGCGCUGACGAGUCUGCGGUGGACGAAGUCGGGCACGGCGACGAUGGCCGCGACGCCUCGCCCGGCGAGGGCGCGCGCCAGGCGGAGCAUCGGGGAGAUGUGGCCCUGCGCCGGGAACGGCACGAGGACAACGGUGGCCGCCGCGGGGCGGCGGACGGCCACGUGCUCGGCCUCUGCGCCCAUGGUCACGGCCCACCGCCCACGUUUGGGAAGCUGGCUGAGCAAGCUGCCGACGAUGGCAACGGUAGUGUUGGACUUUGGGAUUUAAAGAAGGCGCGUGCGUCACGGGCUCGAUUUGCCAGUUUCAUUAUAGGCCCAAUGUGGCCACUGUCCCUUUGACAUUCAUAUGUUAAUGAUUCCGCCACUUGUUAAACGCUUCUGGCUGAGCAAUACUCGCUCCAUUCCAAAUUAUAAGACAAUCUAAAAAUUUUGGAGAGUCAAAGCAUAUCAACUUUGACCAAAAUUAUAGAGAGAAUUAUAAAGAUUUAUAACAUUAUAUAUUAUAAAAAUAUAAUUAAUAAAGAAUCUAAUGAUACUUAGUUGAUAUAAUAAAUGUUGUUAUCUUAUUAUAUAAUUUUAGUCAAACUUAAAAUGUUUUGACUCUAAAGAUUUUUGGAGUGUCUUAUAAUUUUGGGAUAGAGGGAGUAGCAUGUUAUAAGCUAGCUAAAUAAUAAGGUGAAGGAGAAAGAAGAGAGAGAGAGGAGAAGUGAUUGUAAGCUUAUAGCCGGCUUAGACAUAAGGAAAAAAAAAUUAUGAGAGAUAAGUGAAUCAUGUAUUAAUAGUGAAUAGUUAACUACUAUAUAAGUGGGCUAAGAGCACUCUAUAAAGAAAAUCUUAGCUAGCUGUAUUAUUAGUCUUGCUCUUAGCUGGUGUUAGUAUUUGUGUUUAUCCAGUUGAGCAGAUAUCACAUGCUGCUGGACAAUUGGUUGUUGGAAACUUGGAAUGCUUGCUGUCGUUGUUUUCUUAAGAGUUCCUCGUGGUUGGCACACAUGGUACUUGUUUGUGGCUUUGCAAAUUUUAGAGCAAUCUUAAACGCUCGUAUGGCAGUGAUUUGACUUUCAGCUCACAUGCUGCGGAACGUGGACAAUUAGCUGUUGGAAAGCUUGUUCUCGUGCUGUUUGGUAGGAGUUCCUCGUGGUUGGCACAUAUGGUAGGAGUAUCUACAUCAAACAGAGGCUAACUGUACUUCUCUGAUCUGAUCUUUCAGUAGUGGAUGUGAGGCUGCAUUCUUAGCUGAUUCCUGACUGGUUUUGCUCAGGACUCAGCUUACCAAUCUAUUGUAUGGGCUUAUGUUUAUGGGCCUCCGAGGUAUUUUUGUAUAGAUACCAAAGGCCCAUGUUAUCAUUGUUCUUUAAUUAUACUGAACAUUUUAUUACCAAGUUGGUUACAAGUAACACUUGCCGUACAAGUAGGAAACAUCUUCUUUUGUUUUCAAAAUAAGAAAUCUAUCUCCGUCUGGAGUGGGCGAGAUGAUGAUGCUCUACUGUUUGGCAAGUCAACUAUGGUCAUUCUGCCAAAAGCCACUACAGGAAACGCGAGCUUUGUCUAGAGCCUGGCUUUGUCGAAAGCCAGACCCUCGGCAAAGACUGCCUUUGCCAAGAGCCAGGUCAUUAUCUUGGCAAAGAGCCUUUGCCGACGGCCAGGCUCUCGGCAAAGAAGGGCUCUAGGCAAAGGUCAGCUACGCUCUCGGCAAAGGCAAACUCUCGGCAAAGAUAUCGCGCCGUGAACGCCUACCAUAGUCGUCGCCUUUGCCGAGAGCCACGUCGUUAGGCUCUCGGCAAAGAGGUGGCCUUUGCCGAGGGCAACGACUGGCUCUCGGCAAAGACCCCCUUUGCCGAGGGCUAGAACUUGCCCUCGGCAAAGAGUGAAGGUUUUUUUUGAAUUUUGGGUCUAGACUUUUUCUAUAGCUCUUGCAUAUUAUAUACAAGCACAUGUUCAAAUUUGGGAGCUUUUUAUAACAUUUUGCUAUAUUUCAUAAAUUAAUUUAUUUUCUUUGCAUUUUUUUGAAAAAGUAAAUUUGAACUGUAGGUGUAUGAAAUAAUAAUAUAUAGCCAUUCAAAAAAUGAUACUCAUAUUUGAGAGUGUAUUUUGAGGCUAUAUCCAUAAACUCACCCAAAAGUUUGAAUGUCUUUUAUACGAAACAUAACCAUCCAUGUGUCGUUGAUGUGAUUUUUAAUUAUAUAAAUUCCAAAUGAAGUUCAAAAAUCACAAAACUUGGGGACAUGUCUUAUUAUCGUAUGUGGAUGUUGUGGUAAAAAAUUUAUAAAGUUUCGAGUAAGUUGCGACUCCGGAUGUCUAAAAUCCAAACAUCUCCACAUGUGAUCAUAUUUGAUCACAUGUGGAGAUGUCUGGGUUUUAGACAUUCGGCAUCACAACUUGCUUGAAAUCUUAUGAAUUUUUUACCACAGCCUCCACAUGCGAUAACACGACACGUCGCUAAGUUUCGUGAUUUUUGGACUUCAUUUGGAAUUUAUAUAAUUAAAAAACACUUUUCCCUCACAUUCCUCGACAUGUUAUGUCAGCGAAAGGGUUGAGAUUUCAUGUGUGGUUGUGGGUACAACCUCAACAUACAAUAAAUAUCUUGACUAUUAUUUUUUGAAUCACUGAGUUCCAAUAUUCCAUAUACCUGCAGUUCAAAUUUGAAUUACGUGAAAAAAUUUAAAGAAACAAGAUUAAUUAGUUAAAUAUAGCAAAAAAAAGUCAAAUUGAUGCCAAAUUUUGAAAUGUAUUUAGAAAUUGGAUCACAAGGAGACAAAAAAAAACUCGAGUCUAAACUCACCCUGGUCGGCGUGGCCAGAUGGGGGUUCGGGACACGAUGGAGGCCACGGCGACGACGGGUCAGAGUCACAGCACUAGGGGUAAGGCGCUAGCGACUUCGAGUAAUGAUAUUCAUGUGGACUUGUGGUUUAUGUUAUAAACUUGUGUUUAUGUUGGACUUUAUGUUAGAUUUGUUAUAUCUAUGUGGAUUUGUGAUAUCUAUGGACUUCGAUAUGUUUCAUGUGAUAUAUAUGUGGAGUGUGAUAUAGACAUGUGGAUUGUGAUAUAUAUAUACAUAUGUGGCUGUGCAUGUAAAAAUCAGGGAAAAAAUAAAAAACAAAAAAAUUCCCACCUUUGCCGAGAGCUGUCCAGAGAGGCUCUCGGCAAAGGUUUUUUUUAAAAAAAAUAAAAAGUCUUUGCCGAGAGCCAGUCUGGACGGCUCUCGGCAAAGCCCUCCUUUGCCGAGAGCCAGUCUGGCAGGUUCUCGGCAAAGGAGGGCUUUGCCGAGAGCCUUCCAGACAGCCUCUCGACAAAGACUUUUUUUUUAAAAAAAAUAAAAAAAAGUCUUUGUCGAGAGCCUGACAGCACGGCUCUCGGCAAACACGACGUCAACAUUAGCGGUCAUCGACGGCGCCGUGGGCUUUGCCGAGGACGUUUCUGGCCCUCGGCAAAGUCUUUGCCGAUAGCCUGCCAAGUGGCUCUCGGCAAAGAAUUCUUUGCCGAGAGCUUCUUUGUCGAGAGCUCUUUGCCGAGAGCCACGUGGCAGGCUUGCCGAGGGCUUUUAGACCUUUGCCGAGGGCUCCUGGCUCUCGGCAAAGAAGGCAAAUCCAGUAGUGAGCUUCAAUUGAUAAGUUACCAGUUGGGUCUUCAUGCAAAACAGAAUAAGUGAUAACAUGGACCUAUGGUAUUUAUAGAAAGAAUACCUCGGAGGUUCAUAAGUCAUAAACAUAUAUAAGCCCAUAGUUUUUUUUUUAAAAAAAAGAAGGAUAUAAGCACAUAGGUUGGUAGCCCGAGUCCUAGGCAAAAGCAGUAUCCGGAUCUUUGAUGUACCAAAUAUAUAUUCAGAGAUAUAUUCAGUCUGCAGCAAUGGACGAGGCUUGGCUUGUGAGCUUUGAGCAGACGGGGAAGAAGUAAAAAAGCGGCGGCAACAAUCCGUGCCUCACAAACUGUUCUCACAUCUCAGUAGCAGUAUCUCACUAGUUCUGGCUGCUGGACCUGAGACUGAGAGUGACGGGCAAAAUAUCUGACGACUUGUGAACGCCAUCGGCAAGAAGCCCAAGAUCGAUCACCCCAGCCCCAGGACGGCGACCUCUACCGGCGCCGGCGGCCCCGCGCGGCAACUGCAGCGCCGCAGGCCCGCAGCAGCUCGCAGGAACGAAAAGUGAGAAGUGGCUUCCUGGACGCAUCGGGCUCACACCUGCGCGCACGCCGUGCAGGUGCAGCUAACUAUGGCUCUCCGUAGCGUGCCACAUCGCUCGCUCCUGCGCCACGAGCAGCUCAUCCGCACCGAACAAAACCAGUAGCCCGAGAUUAGUUGGACACGUCUCGGCCGCCGUCGAUCCCUGUUGGUGGAUGUCGAUUUCACUGAACUUCGCCCAACGCAGUAAUUCACAAAACCGUACCUGAAAUAGUGAUCCCAAGGCUUUUGGCACAGGUAGCAGCUACUUGGACUCAAGAGGAAGCAUCGCACGAAAGCGUUGCACUAGGAGCAUGUUCGUUUGAUGAAAACCUAUGGUUAAAAGUAAUAUUCACUUUAUGAGAGAAAAAUACUGUUAAAUGUUUUAAAUUUAGGAGAUAAACUUAAACAAACAGGUUGCAUGAGGGUGUUCGUUGUAGCUUAAAGUAGCUAUAGUUUUUUUUUUGCUAGGCUGGAUUGGAAAAGUAUGUUAGAGCAUCUCCAAUAGUUUUUAAAAAGACAAUUUAUAAAUCGAAGAGUUUUUUAAAUACCUGAAAAAAUUGGAAGCAUAUUUGUUAGGUUGUUCUAGUGGUUUUCAAAAUAUUAGUUUACUAAAAUAUAGAAGUCAAUUUUACAUCAAGAAUCUUCUUGACUAUUUCUAAGUCAUCCUAACCAUUUUUAUUUUUCUCUCUUAUAUAUUUGUGUCGGAACCAUGUCUUACUUUUUAUUCUUAUUACUCGUGUUCUUCUACUUUCAGAUUGGCCGAUGGAUACAUGUGUGUAUAUAUGCACGUGAUUAGGUCGGUUUUUCCUGGUGUCGACAGAUUGAGAGUGUUUGAAGAGCAAUAUUUUCCAAUCAUGACAAAAAAAAUCUAGAUUGAAAGUGUGUUUUUACAAACUCUUGGAGAUGCUUUAGCUCUAGGCCAAAGAUACAUACCCACCGCUGUCCCAUGACCGUGUAGGGCUAGAUCCACGUCUAGAUAUCUGGUCUGUUAAUAUUUAGUAUGAAGAUAAUUAAACUAAAUAUAUUAAGCAAGACUCAAACCAAAAAUUUCUUUUUUGAGCUCAAGGUUUGUUGCCCAGGCUAAUCCAGUAAGGCCUACGGCUCAAGGUAGGCCUAAAAUUAAUGCUCUAGUCCGCUCACAUGAGAAUCUCAGAAAUAUAGAGCUGUCAAAUCACAAGAUUGACAAAGUUAUCAUAAUUGUCUUGCUGGUGAAAGGUAGAUCGGCUACCAAUAAAAAAGAAUAAUGGUGUGAAGAGCUCGGUUGGUUAGGUUACUUGUUGUGGACCUUCUCGUUCGGGUUCAAGUCAUUGACUUAGCAAUAUGUGUGACUUUAUCAAUUUCUACAUCUAUACUGGGUUUAAAAAAAAUCGUUACAUUCUAAAAUAAAUUCGAAAAAUAAGAGCACUGGUGUUGAAUCUAUGCACAAUAAGUUGACUCAUGAUGAUUGUUGUCCUUUAAAUAGAAUGAUCUUGAAAGAGAAAACGCUUGCUCAGAUAAAACAAAAUCUUAUGAUUACUGGGAAACAAUGAUGUCCUAAAUAAAGAUAGCUUGAUUAAGAGGAUUGAAUUUUGAUAGUCCAAAGUAUUACUCCUGUGAUUUCCUAUUGCAAAAGUGGUGUCGUUAGUGGUUGAUAGUUGAUAAGGGCAAGACCAUUGGAGCUGAUAUCCCAGUGAACCUUACACAAUGUUGGACUUGGAGAAGAAAAUGACUACCAAAUGGUCAGAAAAUGCCAUAUUUUUAAAUUUGCUACAUAUUUUGUGUUAUCUGCAAAAUCAAGAGCAAGCCAUGCUUUGAAAACAACCGAGAAGAACACAAGGAAAAUUAUUUGUAUGCCUUUGCAUUGAUGAAAUACUGUACAUGUCUAUACUCUUUGGAUAAUUUGUAGCAACAUAUAGAUAGUAUAAGUUAUGAUAUAUUUAUUUUAUGAAUAAAUAUUUCUCUUCUUGUAACUGGAGAAACAAUCUAUCAAAGUUAUAUUUUAAUUUGGCUAGGCUUAAUAGGACAUUGUCAUGUUAUUGUCAACUCCAAAAUUCAUCGUAGAAUGAACGAAUUAUAUCCCUUAAAUUUUAUAGAAAAUGUAAAACAUAAUAGAUACAAGAUAUGUGAUAUUCUUGUACUCGCUUCUCACAAAGUACAAAUAAAUAAUAAAAAUAGGGUUAUUUUUUUUGAAAAGCUCUGUUUGUCUGCACUACUUCACCAGCCAGUGAACGAACAGUGUUUUCUCUCACAUCAUUUCAGCAUAAGUUAAAUUUAGUUUUGCAAGAUUUAUAGUAAGAAAAUGAAAAAAAAAGAACAUCCCAUCCGACCAAAUUCGGCGAAGCUCCCAAACAAAACCUGUGAACCCCGAGUUGCCAACCGAAACUAUCUCGCUCCUACGGCGGCCUGACUCAUGUGGGCCAAAAUUCUUUCUUGGCAAAGAAGCAUAGCCCAGGCCCCAGGCAAGGCCGAGAAGGCGAGAAGGCGCAGGAAUCCCCCACUCCACACCAACCUCCAAAAGAUCCAAGACUUCCCAGCCAGCACCCCCGUGCCCGUCCGAAACGAAGCGGCAGCGCACCGUCCCGGAACUCGCGAUCCCCCCGUCUCGUCUUUACCGCAUCCUCAUCCUAUCCGUUUCACGCUUAUUAUAACUCGUUUCCCCGUUCCGCCGUUCGUCCCCUCCCCAUCCCCAGCCCACGACCUCCGCCACCGGCCACCGCCUGCCUCAGAUCCCCCGCCCCGCCCCGCCCGUCCGUUACCCUCCCCAGCGCGACGCGGCCGCGGCCAUGACCAUGACGCCCUCCUCCGCUCUCGCCCUCGCGCACCACGCCGCGGCGUCCCCGCUCCCGGCCUCCACGCCGCGGGCCUCUUCCAGGUCCAGCUCGCUGAGCCUGGUGGGCCCGGGGGCCGCGGGUCUCGGCCCGCGCCGGCUCGUCGCGGCGGCACCCCCGCGGGCGUUCUUCUCCUCGUCCCCGUACUACCAGCCGCCGCCCCAGCAGCAGCCGGAGGGGUUCUCGCCGCACCGGGAGUACGGCCUGGUCCCCAUGGUCAUCGAGACCACCUCCCGCGGGGAGCGCGCCUACGACAUCUUCUCGCGCCUGCUCAAGGAGCGCAUCGUCUGCAUCCACGGGCCCAUCGCCGACGACACGGCCUCGCUCGUCGUCGCGCAGCUGCUCUUCCUCGAGUCCGAGAACCCGCUCAAGCCCGUCCACCUCUACAUCAACAGCCCCGGGGGCGUCGUCACCGCGGGGCUCGCCAUCUACGACACCAUGCAGUACAUCCGCUGCCCCGUCACCACGCUCUGCAUCGGCCAGGCCGCCUCCAUGGGCUCGCUCCUCCUCGCGGCCGGGGCGCCCGGUGAGAGGCGCGCGCUGCCCAACGCCAGGGUCAUGAUCCACCAGCCCUCGGGCGGCGCGCAGGGCCAGGCCACCGACAUCGCCAUCCAGGCCAAGGAGAUCCUCAAGAUGCGCGACCGCCUCAACAAGAUCUACCAGAAGCACACGCGCCAGCCCAUCGAUAAGAUCGAGCAG
rnacentral:lncRNA from 1 species